UACAAAGAAGUUCUAAAAGACUACAAGAAAGAGUUUCCACUAAAGAAAAACAAUGAAACCAUUUCUACUAAAGACAAACAAUGAAACCACAGAUGCUUUGUGAAAUAUGUACCCGCACAAUCCAACAAACUUUAGAAAUUCACAAACACUACCUAGAAUUUUUGCUGACCAGCAAAAAAUUUAUGCAAUUUAAUUCUUAUUGUUAUUAUUAUUUUCAAUGUGAACAAAUAUGAUUGAAUUAUGAAGUAUUUGGCCAGAAGAGGAUCUUGCCUAAUUAUAGUCAUUAAACAACCAUUUAUACCAUAGCCUCUAGACUUUAAAAAGUUUAUAAAACUCAAGGGCUUCCACCCAAUUUCUAGAUAUCUCCAUAACAUUCUUCUGACUAUUAGAAAGCAAUUACCACUUUAAUUUUUCAUUUCAUGAGUGUUCAAUUCAGAAAAAGACCAGGAUCGAACUUGCGAUCAUGCAGUCGAAAAUCCACCUGUGCAUGAAACUAUUGCCUCACGAUUGCAAACUCAAGUUGGAGUCCAGUAACAACUCUAGGUUUGCUGAUGUGCUCCAUUUGAAAUAAAGGAACUAAAGAAUACUUUAUAAAGAUUAAUUACCUUCAUAUUUUAGGUUGGGGUUAAGGCAAAAUGUGAUAGAUUGAGAGGAAGAAAAUAUAUCUUGUUCAGGAAGCCAAUAUUUUGGAGUUCACCUUUCCAUUCGAGUCCACUCUGCUAUAGCAAAAUCAGAGUCACAACUAUGCCUCUUUAAGCUAUCCUUUAAUUGGAUGAAUUGCAGAUUUGGUUGCUGAGAAAGUGGAUAAGAAAGAAAAAUGCAUACUGUAGCUUGAGAUUAAGAGUUUGUUUUCUAAAAUGAGAGAAAGGGAAAGAGAAAAAAUGCAUAUUGUAGCUUGAGAUUAAGGGUUUGUUUUCUAAAAUGAGAGAAAGGGGAAGAGAAAUGUUCGACAACUUUGAGAUGACAAAUUUUUAGAUUUGGAAAAUUUGAGAUGAGUCUCAGGUUUUUUUUUUUUUUUUUUUGUCUUUGUCUUUGUUUUUUUUUUUUUUUUUUGUUUUUUUCCCAAAAACAACCUGUUAAUGUGGUUGUUGACAUAGAAGUGGGUGAGGGCAAAAUGGGCAUAGAAAAAAGAGUCAACACAAAGUGCACAAAACCCAUAUUAUUUUCCACAUUAAUGACUGAUUCUCAUAUUUCUUGUUCUUGGGAUUUGAAAACCAUAUUAUUUGCAAAUGGACCUCCCAAAGCACAGGUUUCCCUUAGUUUUAUGUCUCCAUCUACAUUUUACAUAUAAAUAGAUUAUUUUAUAAAAUUUGUUUUGUAGAUAUAUUAGUUAAUAAUUAUAUAAUUAAUGAUAUAGAAAACAUAUAAAAAUCAUAUUUAAAAAAGAUAAUUACAUAUUCCUCAACAAUCCAUCCCAAGAAUUCGAGGUUGAGUUGAAAACAUGUAGAGUCUUUGAUGUUAUUAUAAUCAUAUCCAACACAUAUGAUUAUUGUUUAUGAGAUAUUAUUAGAAAGUUUGUCUUAAAAUAAUUGAUUUAUUACCCACCUUUAGCAAAUGCCCAUUUUUGCGUCUUUCAAAAUUUUCAUUUUUUUUUUGUUUAAAAGAAGUAUUGUAAAGAAUGAUGAAAUAAGAAAUUUGUUGAGAAAGUGUGAGUAAAUAAUUUUACAUAAAAAGAGAUUUAAUACUUGAUAAAUAAAAUAAUAAAAUCAUGAUUUCUAGUUGUAUAGGGCCGGGUGGAUGGAGUGGCUAAGAUGUAAUUCUUGAAAUAGAGGAGACAACAUCAAUGUAUAAAAGUUUAACAGAGAAGGAAAGUGUGUUUGAAUGACUUUAUUUUCUUCAUUUAAAGUUUUGACGAUGAGUGUUUAUACAAGAUAAAUUUUCAAAUGAUAGGACUCCUAUUUACAUGGAGUUUGUGAUAUACUAUGAUUAUACAAAUUUAAAAUUCAAACAGAUUCAUGAGUUGAUAGGAGUCUGCUCAAUACGCCCCUUCAAAAUGGUGGGAGAUAGCACACCAAUCUUGACUCGAAGGGCCUAAACUCGUGCAGAAGAUGAGGGCUUUGUUAGAGCAUCGACAAGUUGAUCCGUGGUUGACAUAUGGGACACCUUGAGCUCACCUGAUUAAACCUUGUUUCAAACAAAAUGAAAAUCAAUCGCCGAUGUGUUUCAUGGAGAGUGAAACAUGGGAUUUGCACAAAGAUAUGUUGCACCCACGUUAUCACAAGAGAUAGGAGGUGGUGAUAAAUUUGAAACACUAAGUUUUGAGAGAAGAGAAUUAACCCAAAGAACCUUUGAGGCUGUAGAGGCCACGACGUGAUAUUUCGCUUCAGUGGAAGAGCGUGCUAUGAACUUUUGUUUCCUCGAUGACCAAUACACAAGAUUGUGACCAAGAAAAACAAUGGGAGCAUUGGUGGAGGAUCUGACAUAAGGAUUCCUUGCCCAUUCAACAUUCGAAUAUGCAUGUAGAUUGAUGGGCGAUUUCUUAUGCAAGAACAGACCAUGCACCAUUGUGCCGACUAAGUAUCUAAGCAAUCUUUUAACACAAGACCAAUGUGUUGAUGUUGGAUGGUGCAUAAAUUGAGAUAAUUUAUUCAUCAAGAAGGUGAUGUCAGGGCUAGUAAGAGAGAAGUAUUGAAGGCUUCCAACAAUUGACAUAUAUUUAGUGGGACCAGGAAAAGAGGUGUCAUCACACAGAUUUGGAACAUUGUUGAGGAACAUCAAUGAUUGAACUGGUUUGGUAGCCACCAUUUGUGUUUUCUUAAGAAGCUCUCGAAUGUACUUGAGAUAAAAAUAAUCCUUUGGAAGUAUGUAUCAUUUCAACACCAAGAAUAAAAGAUGAAGUCCUGAGAUCCUUAAUGGAGAAUUUGACUGCUAAUUGAGAGAUCACGCGAGCACGAAAAACAUUAUUGUUACUUGUUAAAAUAAGAUCAUCAAUAUAAAUAAGUAGGUAAACAAUGAGACCACUCUUUUUAAAAAUGAAGAGGGAUGUCUCGGUUUAGGAGUUGACGAAGGCUAUUGAGAGGAGAAAUUGGCAAAGUUCAUGAUACCAUGAUCGUGGAGCUUGUUUAAAGCCAUAAAAAGCCUUACAAAGUUGGCAAAUGUGAUGAUGUGUGUAUUCGUGAACCCAGGAGGUUGAAUCAUGUAAACAUCUUCAUGAAGUGUCCUAUGCUAGAAUGCAUUAUUAAUGUCCAAUUCAUGAGUUGAUAGGAGUCUGCUCAAUACAAUGUGGGAGUGUGAUUUCAAAAUUAGGGUAAUUUCGAAAUGGAUUUUGUAUUCACAAGUUGAAUUUCAAAAUUAUUUUGAAAUGGUCUUUUAACUUUAAGCAGUUGUGUUCAAAAGGUCAUAACUUCUUCGUUUCAAUUUUGAUUUACACAUUGUUUAAAACAUUGGACUCUUUACUUCCCGAGCUUCAAAACGAUAUAUAGUAUGCUCAAAAAUGACAUCAGGAUUGGUUCAAAUUUCAUCUUGAUAUUAGAGUACAUGUUGUGAUUAGAUUUUGAGUUCCAAAUUUCCAUGUAAACUUGAUUGCAUUUGCUUCAAACCUCCUUCAUUAUGGUUGCUUGCCCUCUAUCUCACUUUGCAACAUUUGUUACUAGUAUUUUAUGUCCAUGACUUACUCAUUUCAACCUUUCUUGGAUUCUUCAUGGUUCACAAAUUAUGGAUUCUUCAUGGUUCACAAAUUGAGUCUUUCAAUUAUGCAUGUUUAACUCCUAUUUCCUUGGUUGAUAAUGACUUUUACACUUAUCAUUUUCUUUUAUUCUUUAAACCUGAAUUUAGACUUACAAAAAAAAGUUAGAUCCAUAACUAGGGUCUUAGCAUCAAUUUGAGUUAAGUUGGAUGAUUUGAAAAUUUUAUAUUACAUAAAUCAUAUCAUACAUGUGCCAUUGGAGUGCACAUUUUGGCUCUAAUCAUGUUCCAACCCAUUGUUUUACUCUUGCAUGAAGUAUGUGGCCAUUGAUUUUAAUUUUAUUUGCGAUUAGGUUCAAAAUGGUGCUUUUGUGUUGCUCAUGUGUCAUCAGAAGAUCAACUAAUGGAUUCUCUAACAAAACUACUACAUCAUAGUCAUUUUUUUUUUUCUUAAGACCAAGAUUGAGAUCUCCAAUCGGAGCCAACUCCAUCUUGGGGGCAUGUUAGUGAAAGAUAAAAUUUAUCUUUAAUUUAAAUAUUAAUAUUUAUCAGUUAUUAGUUUUAAUUAGAGUAAAAGAUAGAGUUUAAAUUGGAGUAGGAGAUAAACUUGUGUUUGAACUAGAAUAGAAGAUAAAGUAUAAAGAUUUAUGUUUGAAUUAGAAUAAAAUAUAAAGUUUGAAUUAGAGUAGAAGAUAAACUUGUUCUUUAUUUGUAUAUAAAUAUUCAUCAAUUCUUGAGAAGAAGAUUAUUUCAUAGUUUUUCUAUCUUCUUUUUUCUUCAUACAUAUCUGCAAGAAAUUGAAGAUUUCAAGUAAAAUAUUUUCUGUUUUAAAUAGUGAAAAAAGCUAGAAAUUCACUUUGUUAUCUCUUGGGGUAAAUUGACAAGGUUUAACGUUAAGAAGGUGAAUUAUUUUUUCAGAAAAACUGAAGUAGCUAGGAUAUCUGGCCAGUUGUGAUCGAUAAAAAAGUUGUAAAAUCUCUCAUAUACUAAACAGGUUUUGGAUGUUGGUAUGGUAAAUCCAUCUGCAGUCAUUCGUCAUCUCAUCUAGUGAGAUGUUUGGGAGGUGGUGACCGCCGGAUUGGGUUUCAUUUGGUUAAAUCUGUCAGUGGGUUGGCUACUACCCGAGCCUCUUGCUUUGGGGGAGGUGGGUUCUAGAUAUAAUGUUCAAACCAUUUUAGUUAUCAUAUGCAUGACAUGUAAGCAUAAUCUCUUUAUCACUUCUUCAAUGGGAGUUCAUGGUUAGGAAUUGACUUCUUUUCUUCUGGGAUGCUUGGCAUGUAAUGGACAAAGUUACUUUUAUAUCGAUCGAAUUUCUAGUAUUAUAGUGAAGACUUACCCUUUUGACAUUUUAUAUCGAAUUAUAGAAGAUGAAAGGGACAUACAUGCAAUCGACUGACGCUUUAGUGAAUAUGCUGAAAAUAUGCUGAUGCUGUGGAGAUCGUAUGAGGACAGAGGAAAAAGAUAGAAAUGGAUAUAUAAUUAGACCUAGGUUUUUAUUAAAUGAGAUGGGGAACAUAGAGUGAGGGAAAAUCAAAAUUUUUGGCUGCAGUUCACAUUGGUGAUAUUUUGGAUUGACAAAGACUAACGACUUUUCUAUUUUUCUUUUCGGCCUGACUGGAUAGUUGGACAUGGACAAUACAGAAUCCACAGAAGGAUUGUUGGGACCGCUGAAAAUUAGCUAGAAGAAGCUGAGGAAGUAGUCUACGUAGUCAAAUACCAAACACAAAGAAAGAAAGAAAUGGAUAUCAUGGAUGCCUAGAGUUAUACUCCUAAUACCGUCACAGGUAUUUUUCUUUCCUCCUUUUUUUUUCUACGAUAAUUAGAGCAUUUCUCCUCCUCCUCCUCCUCCUCCCCCCACCCCACCACCAAAAAAUAAAAAAAUAAAUUAUUGCAAGUAACACUUCAAAUAUUAAUUUAUACAUUCUAAAGUAUAUAUUCAUGAAAUAACUUGAGUAUCAUACAUUAGUUCUCAAAAAAAAAAAAAAAAAAAAAAAAAAAUUACUGGAAGAGAAAAGUUUAAGAAAACAUAAAAAUAUUCAACUACUAUUUUAAAGAGAAAAUUUAAUUUUUACACUAUAAAUUUGAAGAGAACUUUUACAUGCAUCUUAUAUAAACUACCAUUUUUUGCUAAAAGGCUUAAAUUUGUCAAAAAUACCCCUUAGGUGCUUAACGUUCUGGUCAUAAUAUAAUUGGCAUCUUUUCUCAAACAUAAGGCCUGUGUGUGGGAACAAGAUUUAAUGUUAAUGAGCUUCGCCACCGACAUUUAGUUCCAGAAAUCAUUAUUUUAAUAGAGUGGGCUCAAUUUACAACUUUAAUUAAACUCUAACCAACUGCAUUGUGAAAUGAAUAUGUUUCUUUCGUGGUGAAUCCAAUGAGUUGGGAGUCAAACUUUGCUUCAUUGUGUAUAGAUGAAAUGUUAAGACUCCAUGUAACCUCAAACAUUUCCGCAAUNNNNNNNNNNNNNNNNNNNNNNNNNNNNNNNNNNNNNNNNNNNNNNNNNNNNNNNNNNNNNNNNNNNNNNNNNNNNNNNNNNNNNNNNNNNNNNNNNNNNUUCUUUCGUGGUGAAUCCAAUGAGUUGGAGUCAAACUUGCUUCAUUGUGUAUAGAUGAAAUGUUAAGACUCCAUGUAACUCAAACAUUUCCGCAAUGAGCGGGAGUUCUAAAUUUAAUAAUUGAAAUUGUCAGUGGAACCAGUGGACAAGAGUUGGUUUGUGGUUGACAAACUUAUCCGUUUGAUCUUUACUUGAACAGUUCCAGUGUGUGGAUGGGUACUGAUGAAGUGUGCGCAUUUAUUUUGAGAAGCCUGCUUGUUCGCAUAGAUUUUAACGACAUGAACAUUGUGGUAAGGUUAGAGAGUAAUGCGAAUGUAGGAGCUUAUAUUAGAAAUGACACAAACACGUAAAUAGAAGUAAUCUAUAUAUGAUAUUACUCAUGGACUACAAGCAAAGAAGUACAAUACAUGGAGUAAGUGAUGAAAUGAGCAUUCCUCACUACUACUGCUUGACUGAUGGAACAUGAUGCACGAGAUAGCAUAAGUAGUAGUAGGAAGCAGCUCUUAUUUGUGGCGUCGGUAUACAUCAUACUAGGUAGAUGGUUCAAUUGGCAUGGAUGGGUGGUGGAGCCUUGAAGUGCUUGUGAUGGGGAGCCCACGGCUUCUUCUCAGGAGUUGGUGGCUUCUUGUAUGGAGUUGAUGGAGGUGUUUCUACUGGAGGGUGGCCAGGGUAGUGACCCUGGGGUGGUGAAGGUUCUUUUGUCGGUGGUGGCCUCACUAUUAUUGGCGGUAGAGUUGGUGGCUUGGGCGUUGGCGGUGGUCUCACUACUCUUGGGGGUAGAGUUGGUGUCUUGUGUUUUGGUGGUGGAGGUGGCUUAACAGGAGUUGGUGGCUUGUAUUCUGGGGGUGGUUUCUCCACCGGAGGUGGCUUAUAAACUGGAGUUGGUGGCUUGUAUUCUGGGGGUGGCUUCUCCACUGGUGGUGGCCUGUAAACAGGGGUUGGUGGCUUAUAUUCUGGGGGAGGCUUCUCCACUGGAGGCGACUUAUAAACAGGGGUUGGUGGCUUGUAUUCCGGGGGUGGCUUCUCUACGGGAGGUGGCCUGUAAACAGGGGUUGGUGGCUUCUCCACCGGAGGUGGCUUAUAAACGGGGGUUGGUGGCUUGUAUUCUGGGGGUGGUUUCCCCAGUGGUGGAGACUUGUAAACAGGAAGAGGUGGUUUGUGCUCAUAUGGGGGUGGCUUGUGGUCAUUAGCAAGUGAGGGAGUGGUGAGGACCACCAAUCCAAGGAACAACACGAGUGAGCAAGCAGAAGACAUGUUUGGGCUCUGGUGAUGCACAAGUAGAAGAAAUGGGAACCAUUUAUAAUGCUUCGAGACCUUGGUUAGCACCAAAAUAUGUCAAAAUCUUGAUUACUUCAUUUCAUACAUAGAUUUAAAAUUAUUUCAAUCAACCAUGAUCCUUAAUUUUCUGGGUGGUCCAUAAAUGUAAUGGGGUCAAUUUGGGACCUAACAAGCUGAGAAGUUUGACAAUGCUGCAAGGCUUCAUCCGAAAGUCCGGGGAAGAAUAUUAGGAGUUACACUCCGUUUCCUUUUUUGGGUGCAUUUUUCUCCUUUAACAUUCUAUUCCCUUUUACAUUAGCAUUUGAUCUUAGCUCAUUUCAAGUACAAGUUUCUUGAACCCUAUACCAUUGUCAAAGUUGAGUAACCAUCUCUACUUUGCUCAAGAAACAUAAAAGACAAUGACAAUAAAGAAAAAGGAGAGAGACCAUACGUGACUUGGUUUAUAGGUGGCUUUGUGUUGACAUUUGAGUAUGGAAGCCGACAUGCAUCUUAGCUUCGAUUUUAAUUAAAUUUGUACAUUAGUGUCUGUGUCAUUCAUUUUGGUAUAAAAGGUCUCUUGAUUUCGUAAGUUUGGUAAGAACCGUUGAAAAUAGCAGUAGCAGCACAUGGUCCACUUUCUUUCACAAAAUAAUUUUAAAAGUUUAGAAGCAUAGGAGGUAACAUUAGUGGCCUUGUGGCUCAGCCACGAGUACUAUGUGGUGCUCGAGAAAUUGAGUUUAAUUUCCUUCCGAUAGUUCAUGAUAAGGUCCGUCACUGUCCUGAGACAGAUUGCGUUUUUUCUUUUUUCCUUUUUUAGUGUUUUAUUGACUAGCUAGGUGUGACUUUUCCUACUUUAAGGCACGAGGCAGAAAAGAAACUGGGAUUUAGUGCUUAAGAAGGCAAAUUUAAUUCGAUUUGGAUCUAAAAUUUGCCAGCAACAUGAGAUUUUCCAGCCUAUCGUUGCUCCACAUAUAGACAAGGCACUUGUAGAAGUGGCUUGUUUGUAGCCAUUCCCGAUAUUUGGACUCACUUGAUUCACCGGACACUUUGAUAAAAUUUAAUAUUUAUUAUUUAAUAAUUUAAAUUGAUUUAAAAUUAAAUUAUACCGAAGUUGUGAUUUAAAAAUUAUUAUUUAAUUCUUACUUUUAAAUAUGAAGAUUAUUUGAUAAAAAUAAUUUAAAAUUUAUUAUAAAUUAUCAAAUUAACAUAUUUAUCCUUAUAAAUUAUAAUUAAAACAGAAAAGGUCAAAUGAUUUGAGUAUCCAUAGAUGUGGUAAAAUAAUAAAAAAGAUUAUAAAAACAAUUAUGAUAAAUAAAGAUAAAAAGUAAAAUGAAUAUGUGAAUUUAAAGAAUAAAUUAAUUAUUUUUAUUUAUUACUUAAAAUUAUUUUUGACUUUAAAUUAUAUUAUUAAAUUAUUUUACCAAACAUACUUAAUUUAGUUAAUAAUUUAAAUUUAAUUUAAGUUAUUAAAUUGAUUCACCAAAUACCCACUUAAUCAAAGACUGAAGUAUACAUUAUUUGGCCAAAUGCAGCUAUUGAAAUUUAACUUUUUCCAAACUUAUUCAUUUUGUGGAAAUAUUUUUAGAAAUGAUUUUAAAAAUGCACUAUUCUGUGUGUUGAUUUUAUAUUUUGGCAUUAAUCCAACAUAGAAAACGGUUCUUAUUUUCGCUGUUAAAUAGGUACCAGAUCCUUAAUUAGUGCCGUGAAUCCGGCAGCUUCCAAUGAGUAAUUUGGACUUGGGUAUUGACAAUGUGUGGCCAUGCUUCUACUAUUUUAUUAUUCUUGAAACAUAUAUGAUAUAUUGGACUUUAUACAGGGAAAAAAAAAAAAAAAAGUCUUCACCAAAAAUGAUUCCUCCUAAAAAAUAGACUCCACAAACUAGGUUUAACAGGAAAAUGAUUCUAAUCUAGUAGUUUCCAGCCACAUGAGCAUUUACGUAACAAUAGUAUAGUUGAUAACGACUUUUAUUUUAUUUAUUUUUAAAUAGUUAAAGGGAUAAUUUUUGAGCUUAAAUUUUAUUUUUUUAUUUAGAAACAUUUUACUUUAUUUUUUAAUCAUAAUUCUAUUAUAUUAAUGUUUUAUUUUCUAUUUUUUAAUAUAUAAGGAGAUACUAAAUUUAUGUGAUUAUUUUUUAAAAAUUUAGUAUAUGAAAUUAAAUAAUUGGAUAUAUAUACAUAUAUCAUAUAAUGUUUUUUAAGUGUGAUUUUUGAACUUUUUAGUCAUUUUAUAAGUUUAAGCUUUUGAUUUUUUUUUUUAAACUUUGGUAUUUUUUAUUUUAUAUAAAACUAUUUUGAUUUAAUUUUAUUAAAAAAUAUUGGUAUUAUAAAUUAUUGUAUUAAUUAUUUUUUUAUAUUAUAAUGUAACUGGUAUAUACUAAAAAAUGUAUGCAAGUUCAAUUUAAGUUUCAAAUUAAAAAAUUUCAUUUAAAUAUUUAAUAACUUGUUCAUAAUAAAAAAUUAAACAACAUAAUACAAAUGAAAAGAAACAUAAAAGAAAAAGGAAAAAAUGGUCCUCUCUGUGUGUCACAUUACUAGGUCAUCCUCUUUUUCUAUGACCCUUACAAUAGAAUGGCAUAUUUGUCAAAUCUACUUAUGAAAGUUGGAAUGUUUCUACAUGUGUAGGGUCCAUUGGAACUAAUGGAGGAAAGGCUUAACGUCUAUGUAAAUCACAACGUUGCCUAGGUGGGCAUAGAUCUAGUUGUGUAACAUGAGAUGGUGUGAGAGUACAAUAUAUGCAUUGUAGUCUCUAUGGGAAGAGAGAUAGGUAAUGGUAGGGUGGUAGACGGUAGGGUGAUCUCUAAUAUAAUGACAUUUGAUGUGGUGGCUUCUAAGAGAGGAGAUAUAAGAGAUGGUAGAAUGACAUUUGGUGUAAUGGUCUCUAGUGCAAUGACAUGUGAUAUGGUGACCUAUAAAGAAGAGAUAUAGGUGAUGGUGAAGUGGUAUGUGGUGUAGUGACCUUUGAGAUAGAAAAUAGAGGUAAUGGUAGGUUGGCAGGUGGAGUGGUCUUUGGUGUAGUGACAUCAAUUAUAAAUGUCUCCAAGGGAGGAAAUAAAGGUGAUGGUAGGUAGUAAAUGUUGAGGUGGUCUUUGAUAUGUUAUGCUCUAAGAGAGAAGGUAUAGGUAAUGAUAAUAGGGAAUUUGACAUAGUGGUGUUGGAAAUAAAAAGUGAAAGUGACCGUAGAGGUGAAAGGGCAAGUGUAAAAGCCUCAAGUACGAAUGGAGUAAUUAAUGUGGAUGGUGCUAACAUAGUCUUAGGUGGAUACACAAAUAGUCAUAGUCAUCAACUAGCUUGCCCACCAUCUGUCUUUCUGCUAGUGAUAGGUUACAUCUUAAUAGUAAUGGCCAACAUAAGUGGUGUGGAUCCGAUUUUUUUACGUGUGUCCCCACUCAAUCGACAAGACUUAUUUUUUAUUAGUGAAAAAUUAAUUUUGGAAAAGUUGGAGUCACCACUUAUUUUAUUUUAUUUUAAAAAGGAAAGUAAAACAAGAAAGAGAACUCUAAAGAAGUGACUUCAUAGUUUUGGAAAAGUUAGUCUUAAAAAAUCCAAGUCUUGGUCCGGAGAUCAGGUUACUUAUUGGGAAGAUACCUCUAAGAGGUAAUACCCCUCUAAACCCUAAAGAAGUCUCUAAUGACUAAGUUGAGGAGAAUGUGGUAAUUAAUUAAUUGAUUGAGGGUACCUAGGUAGACUAAGGUGAUUUCAGAAUUAACAUACCAAGCUAGAAAGUCCAAUCAUGAUCAUAAAAGAGAGUCAAAGUAUGUACCUGAACUGCUUCUCAAACGCUAUCAUAAAACAUCAAAGUUAGUAUAGAAAUAUAACACAUAAUAUUUGUUUUAUCCAAGCAAAUAAAGCAUACAUCUAAGCACCCAAGAAUCACAUCAAGUAUGGAUAUAGUCAUCAAUAGCAUACGUGUCCAUAGAACUAUCGAAAGUAAAUGUGGAGGAGCGUAUCUGGACAACAUAGAUAACUUAUAAUGUGCUUCCACAAGACAUGGGGGUUAGAUAAAAGUUAUAAUAAUAAUUAGUAAAUGAAAGAAUUCUAGCAUGUUUGGUAUCUAAAUAACAUAGCAAAAAUGAACAAGAGUACACGAAAACAUCAAUUAUCACACGAGUCAUAUUGGCUAGUAUUUAAUCAAUAAACCAACAAUAAAUGACUAUAAACAUAUAAAAUGACAUAUUCAAAGAGACCCAAACAUAAAGAGCCUAGAACACAAGCUUACACUAAAUUUAGAAAACUAAAACAUGGAAUUUUAAAAGCAUAAAUUAGCAAACAAAUUGAUGGAAACUAAAUUUAGAUAACUUAAGAAUAUUUUUCUUAUCCUUCAAUUUAAAUCAGUAAGCCAACAAUAAAAAAUUAUAGAAACAUGGAAUAUCAAGAUCAAUGGGAUACCUAAACUAUAAUUUUUAAAAGAAAAUAAACUAAGCAUAAUAUCUACAAAGCAACUAAACUAACAUUUUUUUAAAAAUAAAUUAAACAUGACAUUAAUGGAGUAACCAAACUAAAUUAAAGUAAACUAAAAACAUUUAUGAAUUUUCAAACAUGGAAUCAGCUUUCUUAGUAAAUUAAAAUUAUUAAAAUAAAAUCUAAGCUUAAAAAUGAAUUAAAUACUAACUAAAGCAAAUCUAAAACCAAAUAUUUAACACAUAGGAUCAAUUAUAUUAACAAACUAAAAUUUUAUAAGAACACUUAAACCUAAAGUUGAAUUAAAAACUAACCAAUUUUUAAAACUAGAUCUUUAACCCAUAGGAUCAAUUAUAUUAACAAAUAAAUAAUAAAUAAUAAAUAAAUAAAACUCAAACCUAAAGAUGAACUAGAAAUGUACCAAAGUAAAUUCAAAACAAGAUCUUUAACACAUUAGAUCAAUUAUAUUGACUAACUAAAAAAAAAAAAAAAAAACACUCAAACCUGAAACGAUGUAUUAGAAACUAACCAAAGCAAAUUUAAAAUAGAGUCUUUAACACAUAGGAUCAAUUAUAAUCACUAACUUAAAUUACAAUUUUUGAAACAUGAACUAAUUAGUGUUGGAUUAAUUAAACUAAUUAACUAAAAAAAACUAUAAACUAGAAUACGGUGAAUCAAGAAUUCAAAUCAACAAACAUAAAAUAUGGGUACAAUGAAAUGAAAAUCUAUUAAACUAAUAAGACGGAAAUAUGACAAACUCAUGAACCCACAUUUUGAUCAACUAGGAAAUAGAAAUUAAUAGACCUGUAGCAUGGAUACAAUGAAAUGAGAUCAGUUAAAUUUAUUUGCCGAAAUUCUAAAAAACACAUACACUCAAAUAAGAUCUAAAUCUAAGACCAAGCAAAACUCAAACUUUCUCAAUCUAAUGCAAUGAAUCAAAACUAAAAUUAAAUAGAAAUCAAACCAUUUUUUUUUUAUCUAAUAUAAUAAAUCAAAGCUAAAACUAAACAAAAUCGAAUUUUCUUAAUUUAAUAUGAUGAGUCAAAGCUAAAAUUGAACAAAGUUCAAACCUUUAUAUAAUGGAUCAAAGUUAAAUCUAAAUGAAAUCCAUACUUCCACAAUUUGAUAUAACAAAUCAAAAAUAAAACUAGAUAAAAAAAAAGUCAAAGCCUUUCAACUUGACAUAGUGAAUCCAAACUGAAACGAAACAAAAUUUUAACUUUUCCAAUGAAACCCAAUAUAGAAAAAAUUAGCUUACCUUCUUUAGAAUAUAUGUAUGGGCCAUAAAGAAGUCACCUUGGUGCAUGUGUUCCUCACUUUGACGCCAAUGGACGACUUUCUAUGGUAGCAAAUGGAGAUCCUUUUUGGUGGUAACUUGCGUGUGGAAACCUAUGGUACAACCAAUGUCAUCUUUUAUUGUGCGUGUGGACCAAUUUCUUCUCGAGAACUCAUGUGUGUUGUGCUCAAAAUAUGUUGCCUGUGAGAAUCUAUUGGUAUACCCCACAUAUGGUUUCCUUGAGAGAAUCUGUGGUUGUGUGUGGGCGUUUUCUUCAUGACAGCAUGUGGAUGUUCCCAUCUAUGGUAGAUUGGUUGUGAUGCUUUAGUGCAUGGUCUCCAUAGGAAUAGUGUGUUAUGGAAAUUUGGUUUUUUUAUUGGUGCAUGUUGUCUAGACUUUCCCAUAUGCGUGGACUGUGUGUUCAUGCUUUUCUUUUCGGAUGGUCGCCUGUGUUAAUGUGUGGCGGUGUCUACAAUGAAAGAUACAACCCUUUCUCUCCUUCUGCGUGAUAGAAAAGUCAAUCCCCCAUGGUGCGACUAUGUUCCCUCGUCCUUUUUGAAAAAUUUUGGUGUUUUCCCCCCAAAAAAUCCCCUCCAAAAAUCUAAUUAUAAAUGUCUGCUUUGGCCUAAUGUGUGUGCUACUUUUUUUUUCCUUCUUUUUAUGGUUGUGCGUGCUUUUCUUGAUACGUGGCUUAUUUCUUAAGGAUAUGAUUCGCUCCCAAUUGGUGUCUCAGCUGAUUCAUGUCCUUUCAAUGGUCCCUGACAGUGGUGCCAUUUGAUUCGUGUCCAGCUGGUGUCCCUUGAUUGUGGUCCUCAGAAGGGAGUAAUCAAUAAAAUUUAUAACCUAUUACACCAUGUAUUAGGAUAGCCUUAGCUAGCAUAGCAUAGUGGCUCUAGGGUCGUUUAUUGGGAUGAGUUUUCACUUCACAAUUGAUAUUAAUUCAAGAGCUGAAUUGGUGCCUUUUCAUUUCAAGGUUAGCUUUAAAAGAAAACAUAAUCUUUGGUGGAAAAAGGUUUGGUUUUAAACUAACCAAAAAUAGUAACUGAUUUUACUUACAAAGAAAAGUGUUCUUUGGAGUUUAGAUCACUAGGCUCAGGUUCCUCAUACAAAAAGGAGAGUUCCGAUCAUUUGUUUCUUUUCCUCGCAUUAGAGAAUUAACAUAUAGUUAAUUCUCUAACCGGUGCGGUACAUAUGCUUCCCAUUAAUGGGUUCAAACACUAAAUACCUCUCACUGAUGCACCUUGCAAUGGCUCGUGCCUCUCACCUAGCAUUUAUCAUUCAAGGUGAUCUUUAACCUUGGAUUACCCAUCAAAAGCUCGCAAGAGAUAACUAAAGGAUGUCUCCUUAGAGUCCAAAAGCUUACCAAGUGUUGGUUAUUCUAGAAAAUCCUACCUUCAAACCACCUCCCAAAGGCUCGCAAGAGAUAAACAAGUGCAUCUCAAUGGAUGAAGAUCACUUGCCUUACCAAGUUUUGGCCCAGAUGAUUUAAUGACAUUUUAAGUUAACUAAAAAGAUAAAAACCAUUAACGGGUCACACUUUCUCUUCAUUAAAAACUAAAACAACAAAACUUCCAAUUUAUGCAUGAGGAAACUUACCUGGCUUUCUUCACUUCAAGAGAUGAAGAGCCUAGCCACUCAUCAUUUGAGGAAAAAUCCUCAGAGUUUGAUUUGCUAGAAAUAAAAAUAAUGAGAAAACAAAAAUAUAUAUAUGAAAAACAGAGCAAGUUCUCUGUAAUAUAUUUUUCUUCCUUAUACAAAAGGUUGUCUCUAAGAACAAGUUCCCGAGAUCUAUCUGAUUGUAAAUAAAAUUACAACUAUAUAUAAGAGGUUAUUCACCCCUUUGUUCUUUCUUAAAGACUAAGGAAUCCUAUGAUAGGUGGGUUACAAGGAGAGUUUGGGGAUUUAGACAUCAAAUAUCUAAAGCAAAAUAUCUCAAGAUGUUAGUCGGAAAUAUCAGGAAGCUUCAGGAGAACACCGCGACACUGUAUACUGAGAGAAAAACUCUCCGGGUAAGCUCUAUCAAAGGAUCCAGACAUGUCUGACUGGGAAAGUUGAAACGUCCUUCUCUCCCAUCCGGAUGUGAGAUAUCCGGAGAAAGUGAAAUGUCGGUCGGACAGAAUUCUUUCCCCGGGUGGAAUGAGUUGUGUUGCGCGUCGCAAGGGGGACCGUCUGCGUGUACAAGUUGUAGGGACCCCUCUCCCGGAUGACACCGAGCGCGUAAGGCUAUCCGGAUCAACUCCAUUCGGAUUCCCCAAGAGGACAUGUGGCGUGCUCCCCUAUCAGGACUCCCUUAGGGAGAAGCACACGACACUCGUGAACAUCAUACCCGGACGAUAGCAUGUCCUAUCCGGAUGUGUUGUCCGGAUCAUUGACUAAAGUGAGCAAGCCUUGCUACGUCAUUCGGACAGCUUGCCACAUACCAUGUUCCGUCGCCAUCUGAUGGUGUGUCCGAACGCCUUGUCCGGACAUCUUUUGCUCCUUGCAUUCCGGAUUUGCUUAUGACAAAGGACUUCAAAGCUUCGGUUCUUCAUGUUUCUGAGCUUUCCAUUGCUUUGCCAUGGAUUCCAAAGAACUCUCCUUAAUCACGGAUUGCUUUGGUGAUCAAAAAGUUAUCAAAACACAAAAACUUAACAUAGUUUGAUUAGAAUUGAUUGCAAGGGUUCUUAAUAUGUUAAUUGGGUUAAAAGGUGAUAACUACUACUCAAAAGUGUUUAUAAGAAUUAAUUACAAGCUAUGAAAUAACACUUUUUGAGUAGUAAUCAGGAUACAUCCUAGUUUUUCAUGGAAUUGAUAGUGGGUUGUUGUGCAUGAAUGCCACCAUUUCAACUAUGCUGUUGUUAUUUUUAAAAAAAAUAUGGAUUAUGCGCGAGUGGCAAUUCUCCACUAUGGAAAGUGGAUUGCUCCUUCAACCCAUGCAUGGCUACGUAUUCCUAUGUCUUUCUACUUGUGUUUGAUCCUCCAAAAAAAAUUUCGGUUUAGUGCUAGUAGAUUUUAAGUGGUGGAUCCCCAUUUUUUGAAAAUGAAGUGGCAGCCUCCCAUUUCAAGACAAAAUGGUAGCCUGCCUUUAAUCUUUGGAGAAAAAUCUGUGCAUGACCUUUUUUUUUCCCAAAAAAUCCGUGCAUGGUGUCCUUUAAUAUUUGGAGAAAAAUCUAUGUUGGAUCUUUUCUUUUCUAGAAACAUUUGUGUGGUCUUUUUUGUUAGCCCAAGGGUUCUUCUAAUCAAGUUUUGAUGAUAACAAACCAUGGUUAAGUGACUAAUUGGUUUAAUGAUUAAGAAUCUCAAACAUAAAAUCGAAAAUUCAUCAAAGGACCAAAUGGAUACAAGAUCGAGACGCUUGGAAGACUUGUAAUCAUAGGAAACUAAUGUAAGAUGAAUGCAUGAGUGCACUUAGGAUUUUCACACGUUUCAUGCAACUUAGAAAACCCAGUUUAUUCUUUAAAACUUCAUCCCAGUUUAUUCUUUUUAUGGUUGUGUGUGCUUUCCUUGAUACGUGGCUUAUUUAUUAAGGAUACAUCCCAGUUUUUCAUGGAAUUGACAGUGGGUUGUUGUGUGUGAAUGCCACCAUUUCAACUGUGCUGUUGUUAUUUAAAAAAAAAAAAAAUGGAUUGUGCGCGAGUGGCAAUUCUCCACUAUGGAAAGUGGAUUGCUCCUUCAACCCAUGCAUGGCUACGUAUUCCUAUGUCUUUCUGCUUGUGUGUGAUCCUCCAAAAAAAAUUUUGGUUUAGUGCUAGUAGAUUUUAAGUGGUGGAUCCCCUUUUUUUGAAAACUAAGUGGCAGCCUCCCAUUUCAAAACGAAGUGGUAGCCUGCCUUUAGUCUUUGGAGAAAAAUCUGUGCAUGACUUUUUUUUUCCCAAAAAAUCCAUGCAUGGUGUCCUUUAAUAUUUGGAGAAAAAUCUAUGUGGGAUCUUUUAUUUUCUAGAAAAAUUUGUGUGGUCUUUUUUGUUAGCCCAAGGGUUCUCCUAAUCAGGUUUUGAUGAUAACAAAUCAUGGUUAAGUGACUAAUUGGUUUAAUGAUUAAGAAUCUCAAACAUAAACUCGAAAAUUCAUCAAAUGACCAAAUGGAUACAAGAUCGAGACGCUUGGAAGACUUGUGAUCAUAGGAAACUAAUGUAAGAUGAAUGCAUGAGUGCACUUAGGAUUUUCACACGUUUCAUGCAAUUUAGAAAACCCAGUUUAUUCUUUAAAACUUCAAUUUCAUUAAAACCCGAGUUUUUAACUAAUGUACCUUAGGCAAAAUGUUUUAUAAUUGGCUUAAUAAUUCACCUAAAUACAUUUUCUAAGUGUUAGAAAAGAAAGGAAUUAAAAAAAGGUUUUCGGGGCAAAAAAGGCUCAACCGGUCGAGGCUAUGGUCAACCGGCUCAACCGGUUGAGGAACCAAUCGAUCGGUUGUGCUUGUCCGAUCGAAGACCAAUCGAGGGAUGCCAAAAAAUUUCUCUCUCUCCUAGUGGCCUUCUCUUCCCGGUCGAGGUUCGGUCUAGGCAACGGUAACAUGUCAAGCAUUAAAUGCUCCGACGACUAGUGAAUCGGUCGACCCCUAGCCCGAUCGGACGAGGUUGCCUUUUGCUGUUUUUGACUCCCGAGCUUAGAAACCUAUAAAUUGAGAGCUCCACUUCAUUUAUUGAUAAAAGAGAACACUUGCAUUCAAUAGUCUACCUACCUUUUCUUGAUCAAAAAGCUCUCAUUUCCUUCAUAGUGCAUUAAAUCAUCACUUGCAUAUCCUUUAGUGCACUAUUGUGUGUCAUCCUAGCUUUGUUUUGUAUUUGAGCUAUCCUUAAGCUAGGUUGAGGGAUUAUUUCUUAUAAAAAUCUGAGUGUUAAAGCCUUCAAGAGAUUUGAAUCUUGAAGAGAUUGUGUAAGAGCCCAUUGGAGCCGGAGUCCAAGUGUAAGAAGAUUGGAAGCUUGGUUGAAGCUUCAAGUUAGUGGAACCCUCACUCGGUUAGGAGGUUGAGGAGAGUGGACGUAGGUAAGGAAGUGUCGAACCAUUAUAAACCCGAGUUUGAAUUCUCUAACUCUAUCUCUUUAUUUUGCUUAUAUUGUGUUUGAAUUUGUUGUGAUUGAAAAGAUUUUAAAAACCUAAUUCACCCUCCCCCCUUUUGGGUUUUUUUUUCUUAAUUAAGCAUAACCUUUGUUUUCUAAUUUUCUUUUUAGGAAAAUCCAUGCGUGGUAUGUCCAAACUCUCCAAGUGGCAGUCUGCCUUCUUCUAAAAAAUUUGUUUCUAUUUCUUUAUUCGACUACCUUCCAUGUCUUCCUAAUGAGUGCUUGUGCUCAAUGGUCAAUCCCUGGUGGUUGCCUCCUUUUCCCAUAUAUACGUGUUGCAAAAUCAACAUCCCACUAUAUGUGGGUUGCCUCUAUGGCAAGUUCACAUUUCCCACAUGAAACCUAUGAGUUUCCACCAAAAAUUGCCAUGAAAAAGUCUUUAUAUGCAUCUCAUGCAAUAAAAAGUCAAGCCAAUACUCAUCUUAUCUCGAAAAAUAAGUAACCAAAAUCAAGAUCAUGCCUAAGUGAACUAUGCCAAAAGAAGUGUCCAAGUGACCUAUUAUGAAAAAAGUGCCUAAGUGACCUAAGGUGAAUGUGUGUAAGCUGGAAGGUGUCUAGGAUGUUUAGGACAAUGCCUAAGCCUAAAAUAGGGUUGCCAAGGGUCACAAUGGGGUUAGAUAAAUCUCUCAAUCAGAGUCUCCAAGGUGGCUCAUAAAAGAUAAGCUACACGAGUAAUGAUGGGCCACCAGGGAAUUAUUGUAAAGCACCAAACGAACACAUAAUAGGACAUGUGUUAGAAUGAAAAAAUGGAGGGUUUACAAGUGGUCUCAUGGAUGAGCUUGAUAAUUUAAAUGACUCACAUAAUGAACGUAUGUGAUGUUUCUCUCCAAUAACAAGCAAAACAUCACUAGCAAUAUGAUGAAUGUCUCCUAAAUCACUUGAAGUAGUCCUAGCAAAUCAAUUAGAAAAAUCACACAUAUUGCUCUAAUGUAAUAUUAUAUACAUCUGUCAAUGAAUGGGAGAACUAAUGACACAACCAUCAUGUUGAUAUCUCGAACCCUCUAAUCUCAUAUGUAGGUGGGAUCACACUUAGAAACUCAUAACACAGUAAUGACCAAUCUAAGUCAAAAUGUGUUGGUGAUCGGAGGCCCAUGAAUAUGAAGUUCUAGGAUGAUAAUGACAUCUUAUAAAGUAAUGAUCAUCUCCUUAAUAGAUAGGUGAAAUGUGUGUGUCUUAGGACACCAUCUCUCAACAAGACUUGUGAUCAAUCCCCAGUCUAGUGUAACAUGCCUAUUAUGACAUCCAUCGUAAAAUCUAGACUAGAUAAUAUAAGGACAAAUGUGAGGGUUCAUCUCCCUUUCCCACAUAAAUUUAAAAAAUUAUUAUUGACAAGUUAAGACCAAACUAAGUUGCAAAAUAUAAAUAAGUCCAUUAGAUAACAAAUUUAUGUUUUCUCAUUUUCUCAUUUUUAAAGAGAUAUUAUGUGCUUCCAUGUACAUACAUGCUAAAGUCAAUUAUACGAGACUUAUAUCCAUCUUGUAGAACCAAAUCGAACCUAUCUAAUAGAUCCAGAUUAGAAGUAUGUCCUCUAUACUCCAUAUUUAUAACACAUUUAUAAAGAUAAAUGCUAAAAAAAUGUUAAAGAUAUAAAUUUAAUGAACCAUACUUUAUGAUUUUAAUUCUCAAUUAUUGUUCAUAUUUAUAAGAGAAAAGUUAAAAAAAUUGAUAGAGUUUUCCCUCUAUCAUGGACAUUAUCCCAAAUAAAAAUAAAUUGAUUAUGCAAAUUACAUUAAUAUUUGUAACCAAAUGAUCAAUAACUAUCUUGUAUCAAUUUAGUAAAUAAAUUUAAGUAUAUCUUUUCAUUUAUGACUAACAAAUAACUCAUACUUGUCCAAUAAAAGCCACACCUAAUUUCUAAAAUUUUGUCUUCACCUCAAGUGAGUGUUACAUUGAGAAAGAAAAAAUAUGAAAGAAAAAAUGAACACCUUUUUCUUUUAAUAAAAAAAGGCCAUAACGAAACAUUAAAUCUCACUGUUACACCUAUCUUCAAUGGAAACAUGAGGAUGUGAAUGGUGGCGGUGAUAUUCUUUGCUUGAAGCUCAUAAACAAAUAUUCCUUACUAAGCCUAUGCCAUUUAGUAUUUCAAUAGUGGACCCCCCCCCCCCCCCCCCCCCCCUCCUUGCAUUUCAGAUUUAGCAAACUUAGAACCAAAUAACAAAGUGCAUUUGAACCCAUAAAGAAGUAAUGAGACUCUCCUAUAUUGGCAAUAGAAGAAAUUUUUGGAGGUAUAGGAGAUUCACGGAUGAAGAAGUUGGGCCCCAAUUGAGAUAAGACCCAAGAAAAGAUGGGGUAGAGAGGGAUGGUUGGAAAUUGUAAAGUAAGAUUUUCAAAAUGUAGUUGAUGACUAAGAUUUUGACAAUUUAAAAAAGGUUUAAAAAUGUAGUUAGCAAUCGGGGUUUUGUAACAUUUAAAAAAUAAAAUAAAAUCUCAGGCCACAUGGUAGCCCAUGUGAUUCAGAAGCUUGAGAAUUAUUUUAUAAGAAGACUUAAUUUGUGAUUUUUUUAUAACUAUAUUAUUUUUUUUCUUAACACACGAAAAAAAUUAUGAAAUAAGACAAUUUUCCUAAGAAAGCAUGUAAGUGACUCUUGGUUAUUUUAUUUAACUUCUUCUAGUUUGGAGAGGAUUAAUACCUUUGCUUUUACUCACUUGCUUGGAUAUGUACACGUUGUUCAUGUCACUUUUCAUUUAAUUUUCUGAUUAAGGGAAUUGGAACCGUACGUAACUGUCUUUAUUCCCUCUGAAACUUGGACUUGGAGUUGGACUUUCAAUCUCAUCAGUCGUGUUUCCAUAAAAAAGAAGAUGGAUUAACCAAUUUUCCUAUGCCUACUAAUCAUACACAAAACUCCACUUCCAAAUAAAAAGGAAUGGGAUAUCACUUGUUAAUAGUGGCUAAAGACUAUUAAUAACCAUGCAAAGAAAUGUCACAUUUUUUGUUCUACGCAAAUUUUAUUCAUCAACUACUAGAACCAUUUCAUACAAUAGUAGCUUUUCGAUCCUUUGAUAAAUGGACACUUGAUGUGAUAACACCAACUACACCUAUAUAUUCAAGCAAUCAUGCGUAUAUAAUAGUGGAUAUGGAUUACUUCUCUAAAUGGGCAAAAGUUUUGUCAUUCAAGGAAAGUGAACGAGGAAACACAAGUUUACUUUCAUCGGAACUAAUAUUAUAUAUUGAUAUGACUUCCCAUUAUUACUUACGAUGGAAUAUGCUUCCAUAAAAUGGCCUAGAUGAACAAACUAUCCAAGAAGUUUGGGAUCAAAUAAUAUAUAUAUAGUUCAUGUGUGAUUCUUUGGUUGACAACCUUGUUAAGGGGUGAGUGAAGCACUUUGGGCAUACCACAUACUACAUGCUAGACUUCCACCCAAGCUACCCUAUAUUCCUUAUGAACAAAGUAGAAGUUGUCAUCUCUCUUGAAUACCAAAUCCUUUCACCUAAUAAUGCUAUCUAAAAAGGUCUUAAAAAGGAUAAAAAUGCGCAUAUUUGAAUUUUUGAAUUAGGAGUGCUACUUAAAAAGAAGCUAGAUAUACAAUAAUAGAAUGUUAUCAAGCAUAUCUCUUCAAAGUUUUUGACCAAAAAAUAUAUGAUUUCUCAUUUUAGGUAGGAGACUUAGUACUCACUAUUCAAAAACCAAUUAUCAUUACUCAUAAAAACUAAUAGAAAGUUUGGGCCAAAGUAGGAUGGACCUUAUAUUAUGCAACAAUUAUGCCUAUAAAAUUGUUGCAAAAGAGGUUUUAGAAUCAAAUCAAUGAAUGAAAAAUUAUUAAAGCAUUACUAUGCUUGAAGGCUAGUCAUUUUCCCUUAAAGUGCAAUAUUAAGUUGCAUAGUACUAUGUGGAUCCGCAUUUUUCACAUGCGUUCCCACUCAUUGUCGAGACUCACUUUUUAGAAGUGAAAAAUUAGUUUUAUUAAAGUCGAAGUUGCCACUGGGGAUUUGAACCCUAACAAAAGGUUCAAUUUAAGGAUAAAAAUAUCGAUAAUCACAUAUAUAUAUAUUGGUACUUUGAUUUUAUGAAUAUAUUGAAGAAAUAUGGACAAAUAUUUUGACACAAAAUAUGUACAAAAUAAAAAUUAUAUAAAAAGUAAAAAUAAAUAUUUUAAAAUUAUUUUUUUAAAUAUAUAUAUAUAUAAUUUGACAUAUUUGAUAAUAAUAUAUAAGGGUCUCCAAAAAGCCCGUGGCCCGCUUUAGGCCCGGUCCGACCCGACAGGCUAAAGCCCGGCCCAAGCCCGCCGGGCCCAAGCUCGGCCCGAGCCCGUUUAUGGGUGGGCCGGGCCGCGAGCCCGUAGGCCUGCUCCUUUAAAAAAAAACUACAAAAAUAAAAAGUAUUAAAAAAAAUAUUCAUUUCAAAAUUUUAUUCAUUGAAUGUAUAAUUACAUUUGAAAAUGUGGGAAAAGUUUACAUCACUACAAAAUAAAUACAUCCCAACUAGGUUGGCACCUAUUUAUUUGUCAAUCAUCUGUAUUUUUCAACCACAAAAAAUAAAAAUAAAAAUAUAAUAUACAUUUAGUCAUUAUUUUCUGGCGGUGAUGGCGAACUAUCAUGCAUCCAUGAAGAUCUUGAUAAUUUUAAAGAUUCCAUAUCGGUAAGCAUCUUUGUUUCUCGAAUGGAAUCAUACAUCCUUUUAUCUGCUAUUUCCCAAUCUUUCACACAUAUCCCUGCUUUAAUAACAUCUGACGCUAAGUUGCAUCGUUUUUUACUAACUACUCUUCCACCUGCACUAAAAGCAGCUUCUGAUGCAACUGUACUCACAGGAACUGUUAGUACAUCACGAGCAAUUAUAGAAAGCACAGGAUAUUUGUGUUGAUGUGAUUUCCACCAUAUUAAAAUAUUAAAAUCUUCUUGAUCUUCAAAUGAAAUUAUAUCAGUAUUAAGAUAUUUAUCUAAAUCAGAUGUAUUAUUUGGAGAAUUAUUUGUUGUCUUUUUUCGACUUUUCAACAUUUCUAGAGCUCCUUUAUAAAAAGAUGAGGAGUUUGUAGAUGUAGGUGGUAAUUUAAUAGUAUUAAUAUCAUUACCAUAUUUUUCUUUAUAAUAGUUAUAUAAAUUAUAUAAUAAUGAAUUUAUUUCAUUUUUAAUUUCUUCAAUUUUUAUUUGGUCAUUAAAAUAAAUAAUUGUUAACCAUUCAUCCAAAGCUUCAAAUUUCAAUCUAGGGUCCACAAUUAAAGCAAUAUAAAAAAUUAAAGGUAUUUCUCCCCAAUAUUUUCUAAAUUUUUAUAUCAUUACAAAUAUUGUAUCAUUAAAUAUUUCAAAACUUAAAUAUUUUUGAAGUACAAUAAAAAUAUUAGUUAUUUGCGUAAUAACUCGAUUUGAAGUUGGAUAAUAUACACCACAAAAAAUGUUUGUUGAAGUAUCAAAAAUUUCAAAAAGAUCUCUUAAAACAUCCGCAAUAUGCCAAUCAUAAUCAUUUAAUGCAUAAAUAUCUGCUUCAUAAUCAUUGUUAAUUAAUUGUAUUUCAUAUAAUUCGACUACUUUUCUAUAUUUUGUAAUAUUUUCUAAAAGUUUAUAUGUGGAAUUCCAUCUAAUAGCCAUAUCCAAAUUUAUAUUUUUUCUUUUCAUAUUUAACAUUUUGCAACAAUCAAAAAAUAAUUCAUGUUUUGCUUGAAAACUAUUAAUACUAUAUGCAAUGCCUCUAAUUUUUUUCCAAUGUACUAUCAACAUUUUUUAAUCCAUCCUUUACAAUUAAAUUUAAAAUAUGUGCACAACAACGCACAUGAAAUAUUUUAGCAUGAUCUUCUUUUACUUGCCAAUAUCGUUUUAGUCUAUGUAUUGCUGCAUCAUUAUUAGCAGCAUUAUCUAAUGUUAUUGUCAAUAUUUUAUCACGAAUGCCUAAAUCUAUAAUUUCAUCAUUUAUUAAAGAUGCUAUAUUUUUACCACUAUGUGGAGUAUUUAUUAAUUUAAAUAAAAUUAUUCUUUUAUUUAAUUUCCAUUCAUUAUCAAUGUAGUGAACAAUUAUAUAUAAAAAACCAGUAUGAGUUAAAGAUGUCCAAAUGUCAGAUGUUAAACGAAUAUUUCCUUCAAAAUUUGCAAAAUUUUUUUUUAAAAUUUCUUUUUGUGUAUAAAUUUUUUUCAUAAUAUCUCUUUUAACUGUAUUUCCAGAUCAACCUUUAAAUUGAGGAUUAAUACCUCGUUGAAUUGUUCUUGCAAAAUCAUGAGUUUCCAUCAUGUUGAAAGGUUGUUCUGCUCUUAUUAUAUAAUCAAUCAUUUCUUCACAACAGUUAGAUUCAUCAUAAGAAAAUGUUUUUAAAUUUCCACUUUCAUUUUUACUUAAUUGCAUAUAAUUUCUAAUAUCUACAUUAUUUUUAGUUUUACAAUUUUCAUGAUGUCUUUUUAAAUGACUUGUAUCUGCAUUUGAGCCACCAGUAAGAAAUUUAUUACAAAUUUUACAUUUUGCUUUUAUUUUUUUUUUAUUAUUUUCUAAAAUUAUUUCUAUUCUAUCAAAAAAAUUCCAUAUAUUUAAAGUAAAUUUUUUGUUUGAUGAUAUUUCAUCACAUGGACUAGACGAAGAAGCACUUGUCAUAUUAUAAUUAUUGAUAAAAUAUUAUGCCAAAAAUAAUAAAGUAAUAAAUAUAAAAAAAAAUGUAACAAAAAAAAUAAAGUAGUAGGGGUGAAGUAUGUUACUCAAUUAGAGAACCUAUGCAGAAAUUCCUAGCAAAUUUGAACUCUUGGAGCCACCAAUGCUUGUUUUGCACCAUCAACAAUAUUGUAUAAUUUGAGGGAAAAAUAAAAGAAUUUAAAAUAUUGUAGAAUGUGAGAGAAAUAGAGAGAAUUUGAUGAAAAAAUGAAAAGGAAGAAAAUGUAUUUAUAGGAAGGUUAAAAAUAAUAAUAAUAAUAAUAAUAAUAAUAAUAAUAAUAAUAAUAAUAAUAAUAAUAAUAAUAAUUGGCCAUGUGACCGUUGGAGGCUUAGCUCCAACGGUCACAUGGGCUGGAGCUAGGCUCCAACAGUCACAUGACCGUUGGAGCCUUUAAUUUUUUUUUUUAAAAUAAUAUACUUUAUUUUUAUAUAUAUAUAACUAACUCAAUUAAUAAACAUAAAAAGAAUAUAGUUCAGUUGGUUAGAACCUUGAAGUUUAAACAUGAGGGGAGGGGUUUGAAUCCCUCCCUCUCCCUUAGGGGCUUUUUUAAAAGCCAUUUUGGCUUAUUUCAAAAAGCCUGUCGGCCCGACCCGCCCUGCAGCCCGCGGGCCUAGCAUUUUAGCAUGGCCUGGUCUGUUGACUAGUCAAAUGGCUCAUAGGCUCGGCCCGAACUGGGCCGCGGGCCUCUUAUUUACGGACCGGCCCGACCCGGCCCGCCCGUUGGAGACCCUUGAUAAUAUCUUCUAUAUUAAGUUACAUUAUAGUUUAUUUUACAAUAUUAUUAUGAUAAUAUGUCUAAUUUUAAAAUAUAUUUAAUAUUAAAAUUAUGAUCUAUUUUAAUUUAAAUGUAUUCAAUGAUAUCAAAUAAAUAAUAAUAUAUGUAUAAUUCUUUUAUUAUUUAUAUUUAUUAUUUUUAAUAAAUAUAUAGAUUAUAUAAAAAAGACCGGAUAUAUCUUUUCAAAUUUUGUAUCGCUCUCCAAGGAUAUUAGAUGUAUGGGAAUUUGUAUUGCUAUCUACGGAUACGUUGAUAUAUGGGUGAUUUAUCAGGAUAAUUAGAAAUUCUAAUUAUGUAAGCAGGUACGGAGUUCUGUGUCGGUGCGAUCUUGUCGACAACAGCUCCAAAUUGUGCAUCUUGCUCAUAGAGAGUAGCGGAAUGCACCAAUCGUAGGCUCAGAGUACCACUGAGUCGUCUGGCAGAGACCCAACUGAAGGUGCCUGUGUUGUUCCUGAUCUGAUCAGGCUUCAAACUACAAGGUGGAAUACUGGUUCCCCUAUAUCAGAAGCUGGAGAUACCCACCCCAUAUGCUCGUCUGGAUGUGCUCCUACCCUUUGAAGCCUUCUUCCGAGUCAAGUCCGAAUUGAUAAGGCUAGUGAGUUCCCAACCAACUGUACUCAGCAUGCUGCCAGGUGGAGACCCUCCAUAUUUGAUGGCUUCCUAAUAUUAAAAUGCUGACCACUGGUCUUCAUGUUCCACAGGCUUAAUUGUGUCCUUUGCUGAAAGAAUGGAUAGUGAUCCAUUUUAACACAUGAUUCACGCCGUCUUUGCCAUUCUUCAUGGUCUAGCCCUUUUAUAUAUAUGCUUCCUGAACUGUUGCUAUUAAUAAAAUGUGGUAUCUAUCCCGUACACCUUCCUGAUGGCCAGCGAAUGCAGAAGCUACAGAAACGGUUCCAUCUUUUGCUUCCGCCACUUUGGCAUCCUCCAUGAUGAGAUCGAAGGUGAAUAAUCAUAUUCUGGGGAUUUAUGUCCUGGAUAUUCUCAGUAAUGCCCAAUUUCCUGGUGCCGGCCUCAUUUCCAUGGGAACUGAUGGAUAACUUAAGGCUUCUACCAUCUGCGUGGUUCGCUUCUAACACAGGAAACUUCACGGCUAAAAGCAAGAUACCAAGAACAUCAAGGCUGUGACAAAAAUUAGUAUUUUUAACUUGUAGGAAUUUGAAAGGCAACCAACCAUCUAGCUCUGUUCUUAAAGCUCCCAUAGGAGGAUCAGAGGCUGGAUUGCUCAAGAUGAACUCAUCCAUUGUUGCACUUAAAAAGAAUUGGCAUGAAUUGUGGCCGCUCUAAUAGGUUCCCUAAACCAUCAUCCAAGUGGGCUUGCGGAAGGUAGCGAGUUUAAAACACCUAGGGCGAUGAACAGUGGACUGUGAUGCUCACAAAAGAGAAAAGGAAGAAUUCAAUAAUUCCUAAGAAUCCAUUUGCCUGUCAUCCAAAUUUUUAUAUUCUCUUCAGUCUGACGCGUUAUGCCAUAUAUUAAAAAUAGCGGCUUCUUCCAAGCCGAGACAGACUGUGCAAAGUUCGCAAGGCCAAUCAUCACCAUAAUCUGAAGUUGGCCUCCUCAAUCGCAGCUUGUAUCCGAAUGCUCACUUCACGGGAUGGAUUGUAAUGAAAACUAAUCUCAGUCCCAGCUAUGGCAGCAUCCUCACUUGACAGCAUUUUCUGCAUAUUCUAGAACAAAGCAAUAAACCCUCAAAGGCUCCUUCGGAUCAGAGUUAGAAGACUGUCCCUCAGGAACGUGAACACUAUGGUGGUUCUGAUAAGCAGUGAUAUUGCAUUAGAGCCUUUUGGAACAAGAGGAUCUUUUCAGGUGGAAACUGUAAACUGCUUCAUGUUGGGCUGCAACCUUUUCUUCAAGCAAUACUUUCUUUCUGUAUCACGACUUAUGUUGCUUCCGGAGCCAUCCCGUGUGGACUGCCCUUCAGUGAAAGAAUAUGUGUGUUGACAUGUUGGAUUGUAAUCUUUGUUCCACUCUAAUGGCUUUUGGUCCUCCUCUUUCUCUUUAUGACAGAGAACCAUUUAGUGAUCCAUCUCUAUAUUGUAGCAUUGCUGGUGCUUUGCAAUACUACACUCUCACCAAGCAUAACAUCUAUUUUUCCGUGACCAAAGUAUGUCGGUUUAUGCAUGCGCAAACUCUUAUUCAUUGGCAAGUUGUCAAGCGUAUCUCAUGAUUUCCCAAAGCCACAAGUUCUUAUGGUCUUUCUGUUCAAGCUUACAAUGAUCUAUCUUUUCUUGGUUAUACUGAUGUCGAUUGGGCUAGUUGCCCUGAUAACAAGCACAAUACUAGUGGGUACAACACUUUUCCUGGUCCUAAUCUCAUUUCAUGGGCAUUUUCAAAGCAGAAGGUUGUGUCUCACUCCAAUAACGAAUCUGAAUAUAGGGGACUCACUAAUUAAUGUUGUUGCCAAGGUCACUUGGAUUGAAUCUGUCUUACGUGAGUUGCGUGUUUCUCUACCCCAACCACCAAUUUUGUUGUGUGACAACAUUAGUGCUACACACUUGGACAAACCAUGUUGAAAUACACUAUCAUUUUAUCCAUGAAAGGCUUAUGCAUCACACACUCAAAAUUCAAUACACCUCUUCUAUAGACCAACUAGUCAAUGCUAUGACCAAAGCUCUUCCUUCAUCUCACUUGUACAAUCUUCAGUGCAAGCUGAUUGUUCUUCCCAAACCACUCAACUUGAGGGGAGAUGUUAAGCCAAUUUAAUAAAUUGAUUUCUUUUGGUUAAUUUGUUAGAAUCAUUUUUAUUAGAGGUUUGUUUGUACAAUUACAUCCAUUUAUCAGGAGAGUACACGUGUACAACUCCUCUUUUAAUCUCACCAUUGUAUAUAUAUGAUACACGACCUUACUCAGAAUUGCAUAACAUUUCCUCUGCUCAUUCCUUUUCUUCUUUGAAUUUUCCCUUACCUCACUGAUUUUGAUUUAUACCUGGUGUUUUCACCUUUGGUCUCUACCUUUCUAGCCAGUUUUCUAAUUAAUCCGUAUAUGGUAUACCUGUCAACUAAUGAGGAGAAAGAGAAAAGGGGAUUGCUGUUCCACCAGCUACAUAUAAUAAUUAAUUACAAUCAUGGUAAUGGAUCCUGAAAUCCAUCCUUUGUGGAUUUUGUACGGAAUAUUGUUGUUAUGUAUGUGGGCUCACUUAGAUGUAUAUUGCUAGCCUGUCUGGGAAAUGUGAUUGCAGGUCCAGAUUAUGAUGUUGAUAUUAGUGGGAUAAGCAAGAGAUGCAGUUAACACGUAUGUGAUGGACUUGAGUAACUUUUCCAUUUCAGUCCAUUUUUUAAGAUUAUGCUUAGUCUUAUUACAAGGAAAGACCAUAAGAAUCAUGAGUCAUUGGCAAGGUAAUAUCAUUCCCUCUUUACAGGCUUCUUCACCUUUUGGUUUUUUUAAUAUCCAUCAAGAUCUUUUAAUUGGAGGACAAUUACAAGUAUAUAUAUAUGUAUUAAAAGGGGAAAAUAUUAAAACAGGAAAUUUUAGGGAAAAUAUAAUAAUUAUUUCUUCCUUCUUUCCCAUAUAGAACUACACAAAAUAAAACUUUAAUAAUUUUUUCUUAUCUUUUUUAUUAUUAUUUUUUCUUAGAAACAUCCGUGGUCUCACAAGCUUGUAAUCCUAGAUUGUUAGGCUCCUUUAACAGUGCCCCAACAUCGUGGUCCAAUGACAAGCUUCCACGCCUUAAAAUCAGAAAAUGCCAUUAAACUUUAUCAGACAUUACAGUUCAAGACAAAGCUUUCAUUUGCUUAAUGUGAUAAUGAAAUUGUUAAUUUCAUUUCGUGGGCAUCUAAAUUUGGACGAGCAAGACCUCUGAAUUCCCUGUUUUUAUCACCAGCAGAGGAGAUAAAAUCUUAAUGGUGAGAAUCUCCACGUGAAAUUUAUGUGUACUGUCAACAUAUUUUUGUUUAUAUAGUCCAGUAGCUGCAGGAAGUCUAGAUUAUAUAGGUAGCAGUAGCACUAUUUAUAGCACUCGAUAUUCGCUGUAUGAAUACAUUAAACCUUGUUUUCAAUACGCAUCACAAGCAAGUACUAGAUACUACAAGGAGUGACAGUCGCAUCAACAUUUCUUGAUAAUAGCAGUGACUGAUUUAUACACAGAACAGUACUGUACACGUACCAGUCACCAGAGAUAGGAUCUUAUUCCUACAUACGACUCUUAUUGAUCGAAGUCACUCAGUUGGGGUAGCCUGGAGUUGGAGGUUUGUGUGGUGGCUUCUUCUUUGGAGGAGGCUUUAUCUUUGGAGGCAUCAUCUUUGGAGGCAUCUUGUGUGAGUCUUCUUCAGCAUUCUCUACAGGAGGAUGGCCAGGCUUAUGACCCUUAGGUGGUUUGCCAACUGGGAUUGGUGGCUUGUGUCCUGAGAGUGGCUCCUCUUCUUCGGGAGGUUUGCCAACUGACGUUGGUGGCCCGUGUCCUGGGGGUGGCUUGUGUUUUGGGGGUGGUUUCACUCCACCGGGAGGUUUACCAAUUGGUGUUGGUGGUUUGUGCUCAAUCGGUGGCCUCUCAACUGGGGGGCGCUUGGGGUAAUCAGCGAGUGAAGAAGUGGUGAGAACCACCACUCCAAGCAACAACACUAGCAAGUAUGUGGAAGACAUCUUUGAGUUUGGCUCAGAUGGUGUAGAACUAGAAUCCUGGGUGGCCUUUUAUAUUAGUUGGGCCCUAUGCCCGAACGACAAGUGUCAUGGUGACACAUAAAGUGAUGGGGUCGAUUUGGGCCUACCGGAUUUGAAAACUUGGACAAUUCGAGAAGCGUCUCCUGACUCCGGGUUGUAAAGUGAAAGAUUAGGUAUCGACCAUUGAAGUAUGAUCACAACUUUUGGCCUUUGGCUCUCUCUACUGCCGUAUAGCUUUUUUCCUUUGGAUAUUUUUCUUAGCUAGACACAAUUAUUGAGCAGUCUAAUCUCGAAAUGGGAUUAGUAUAGCUUUAAGCAAAUUUAUUAUAGUUAGUGGAGGACUUUUAAGAGUGCAGACGACAUUUAACACAUGCAUGCAGUAGUAUAGGGGACAUAACACUAUUCUUUUUCCAAAGAUUCACAUGAUUUUUAUAUUAUAGUAUUGGCACAUUGUAUGUAGCUGGUUUUGUGGUUAAAAUUCCAUAUGUAGACACUGGCGUUUCUCCAUUUCUCACAAUUGAUGUUUACCUCCACGAUUACUAGAUUAGAUAUACCAAACAAUAACACAUUGUAUAAUCUAUCCGCCCUUCAAAAUCUACUGUAUGAUGAAAUGUUUCAUGUGUGUGUGAAGUGUUAGAAAUGCACUAUAGGCAACAUCAUCUUCUUUUGUCUAGGCUUGGGCCUCAAAUUAUACUCCCAUGCCAUGAUAAAUUUUCAUGUGCAUUCUCUAAAGAAGAGUGUCUUGAAUGUGCCAAAUCAUUUUGAUUGAUUUUAUGAUGUUAAUUGCUCCGCAUAUGGAUGGGUAUGUGCUUUAUUUGCUUAUUCAAUCCACAAUUACCUUGAACUGAAGUCCUAUUGGAGCUCUAUUAUUUUAGCAACGUCCUGUCAAAUAGGCUGCUAACUUGGGGUGGUAUGGACCCAAUGAUCCAUCUUAAUCUUGGGUUGAUUUUGUCUGACUCUAUCUAUCUCAGAGAGAACCAGGAUCACCAGUGCUGGUCUGCUUAAAGAAGACUCAGUACUGGAUUAAUAUUGGUUUGGGUCAAUAGCUUAUAAUGCAUUGAAUGCAGAAUAAACAAGAUCAAUGAAACCCAAAACACACUGCCCACACAACUUCACUCUGGUGUCUGUUAUUCAUCAAUUCUAUUCCCACAUGAACUGGUUCAAGUUUAAGAAAAUGACAACGGAUCCACUGUAUUAACUUGGUUUUGCUUGGUUUUGAGCUAGUUGCCAAACCAGCCAUGAGUUUUACCUCUAAUGUCAAUGAACAAACCCCAAAUGAACAACUGCAACAGCUUAAAGAGAAGGAAUGGAGAUGAAAAUCCCUGUUUCUUCUCAUUCUGGGGACAAAUUAGAACAUAACUACAAAGGUUCUAUUAAUUGACUUACUCUACCAUGAAUUAUGGUUCUUUGGUUUUCCAAAUUUAAAUUGUACAUGAGAUUAUUUUUUUCCUUUAUAUAUAAACAUAUUAAGGUUUUCUUAUUUCGUGGGCAAAUGCGCUAAGGAUGAAAGUCAUUUCAUUUGGCUGCAACAGCAUCUUAUAAUCAACAUGCAUAAGCAGCAGUUUUAAUUGAUCGAUUGAACACCGACUCACAAGAAUAGAUAGAAUGGUACAAGACAGCUCUUAUUAAUUUAUACUCGUUACUCAUUUUAUGUAGCCCCAUUAAGAUGGCUGGCUGGACCACCGAGGUCUGGGGGUGGUGUUGCUUGUGUGAUGCAGCGGGCCGGGCAGACACUUCUCUAGUUGCUUCUAUUUGGAGUUAGAGGAUCAGUCUCUGCCAACCUUGAGGACUCUCUACCUCAGAGGGUCCAGGUGGUGGACUCUGGUGUCGGUAGCUUUGAACUCUCAGUAGACUAGUGUGUCUUAAUCAGUCACUGCCAGAGGCUGGCGUAGGCAGUGACGAUAAGGUGAGACAAAUUACCGAAUAGUCAAUAUCGACUGCACUUGACCAUUAUAGAUUUGUUCUGACAAAAGUGAGAAAAGGGAGAAAAUCGGAUGUUGACCUUUAUAGAAAAAGAUAAGAUUUACUGCAACACAGAGCACUGAUUUGUUACUUGGAAACCAAGUUAUGCUAUUAGCUAGCCUCCAUUAGCAGCAGGGUACCUUGCUGCCUGAUCCUAAUCUGAGUUCCCAAGGUUUCAAUCUUCGUUUGUUAACGCUUCAGGAUUUGGAUAUUUCAGCUUCGUUUCUCCAUUUAGCCAACGCUGCCUGGUUUGGAUUUCAAUCCUCAUCUGGAACAUUCUUUUUUCGGUCUGAUUCAGGAAGUGUUUGGUGAUAGUUGAUUAAAAUUAAACAGUACUAUCAUACAAAUAAAGCUGAUCUAAUUUUGGUGGGCAAUAUACCAACUCAUUUAUUCUUGAAAACACCAUGGGGAAUUGGAGGUCCAUCCGAAGUACUAUUUGAUGGGACUCACAAAAAGAACAGGUGCACAUUUAUGAGAUCCGUGGAAGAGAUAACUAUGACAGCUAUGCAUGUACAACAGAUUUAUGUCGAGUUCACCUCGUAGAUAUUUUGUUUUCAGUGUCGGUGGACCCCAAAAUGGAAAUCGGAAAUUAAGGUUAUAUUUAUUUUUUUAUUUAAUUUUAAAUAGAAUUUUAAUUUUUAAUAAUAUUAAGUAUUAAAUUAUUUUUUUAAGGGUAUUUUAUUUUUAUUAAGUAUUAAAAAGUAAAAAAAAUUAAUAUGUUGCUUUUUUAUUUUAAAAAAAUUAUAUAUUUUAAUUUUUUCUAUUUACUAAAAAGUUUAUAAUAAAUUAUAAAAAAAUAAAAAAAUAAAAAACUUAAAUUCUGAAAAUAAAUUAUUUUUAAUAAAAAAAUCCAAAAAAGCAAACACCACCUAAAUUUGAGAUGACUCAAAAUUUUAUAUUUUUUUUCACCUAAAUUAUAUUCAUAAAUUUAAAAUUAAAAAAUUAGGAAGUUGAAUUUUAUUUUGGAUAAUUGGAAACUACAAGAAAUCAAUAAAAAUAUUUGGAAAAAAAAGAAAAAGAAAAACUAUCUAUAUAUUCACCCCCUUCUAAGAAACAUAACUUUAGUUUUUAACUAUUUUUUAAAAUAAUUUUUGAAAAAUGUUAUAUAAUAUUUUAUAAAACAAAAAAUCUGUUUGACAAUUUGAUAUGUCUUUAACUUAUUUUUAAUAUUUAUAUAUAUAUAUUUUAAAAAUAAUUUUAUAUUUAGAACUUUAUCUUUAAUUAUUAUAUAUAUUUAUAUAAUUAUUUUUUUUAAAACAACUCUUAAAAAAUAAGUGAAAGUAAUUGAAAACAACUCAAAGAUAUUUGAUGAAAACACUCUAAUUUGUAUUUUUGAGAAUAAAAAAAUAAAUAAAUAAAUUUCUAGUUAUCAAAUGUAUUUUUUAAUUCUUUUAUUCUAAAAAAUAGAAAAUCGUUUUUGAAAAUAAUUAUUAAACAACAUUCUUAAAAAUUCACUCGUUACAAUCUAGAUUUAAUGCAAGAAUGAUUGAAGGAGUCCUCCAAUAGAACCCAAAGUUAUAAACAUGAACAAGAAGCCCUAGAAACACCAAAGAUCUCAUAUGGUAUAUAUAUGAGCUUGAUUGAGAACUGUUUUAAAUUCAGUUUUUUUUUUUUUUUUUUUUUUUUGUUUUCAAAGUCAAAACAAGUUUACUUUUAAUUUUUACUUCUUUUUUUUAAUUUUAUAAAUAACAGUUUUUUAAUAAUUUAUUUUGAAAACAUGAUUAUUUUUAAAACUUAUAAUGAAAAUAGGAAUUUUUUUUUUAAUAUCAUGGUUAUUUUCCCUUCUUUUAAGGAGGGCUAUUUUAAAAAUAAAUUUACAAAUAUGAAAAAUGAUUCAAACUAAAGCAGUACAAAUAAAAAACAUUUUUAAGAAAUAUUUAAAAAUAGAGAAAAUUAUUUGAGAACAUUUGAAGUCCUUAAAUAGACUUUUGUUUUAGAAAAGGCAAGAUAAUUAUUUUUGAAAAUUGUUUUCAUAAUGAUAUGCAAAAACCUACGUAAAAACCAUAAUUAUAAUCGGCCACAUAUCAAAUCUACUAAAUAUGAAAAGUAAGUACAUAAUUAUAUUUGACUUAGAUGCAAGGAGGAAAAUGUCGCGAUAUUAUCGCCGAAAUAUCGUGUGUCGAAGGGUAUCGACACGAUUUUUCUUGCAGAAAUAUCGGCCAGUCGAUUUUUCGGGAUAAAUCUCGAGAAAUCGGCAAUUUAUCGCGAUAUAUCGGCGAUUUUUCCUCGAUAUAUCUUCUGGUCAACGCGGGUCAACGGAGUCAACACGCUACAGUGAAAGUCAAAUGUGCUACAAUGUCCCCGCUACAAUCACCUCCCCAAACAAAUUGCCAAAUUGCUUCCGAGGGGAUUUGAACCAGCCUUCUUGCCAUUUGGGCUAACUCGCCCUUAUGAUAUAUAUUGCAUUAAACAUAUAUAUACUUAAAGUCCUUAUAUAAAGAAAAUGUUAAAAAAAUAUUUUAAAGAGCAAAUUAAUUAUAAUUAUUUUAUAAUUAAAAGCAAAAUUUUCUUUUAAUUAAUUACCAAAAAUAUAAAAAUUAUAUAAUUUUCUUCAUAAUGUUUUUAAUAUCAUUAAUAAUUAAUUAAAUAUUAAAAAAUUAUAUAUAUAUAUAUAUAUAUAUAUAUAUAUAUUAUAAUUUAUUUUAUAUUGUUUAAUACAAUUGAAUUAAAUGGAUCAUAUUUUAAUAUUAAUAUAUAUUUUAAAAUUAGACAUAUUGUAAUCAAAUAUCAUAAUAUUAUAUGUAAUUUAAUAAUAAAUGUACACUUAUAAAAUUCAUAUUUUUAUCGAUGCAUACAAUAUUAUUAUCAAAUAUGAUAAAUCAUGUUAUACAUAUAUCAAAAUUUUCAAUAAAAUAACUUUAAAAUGUCUAUUAUACUUCUAAUUAUAUUAUUAUGAGGUUUUCUUUACAUUUUCAUGAGUUUUAAACAAUUUUAAGCACCAAUAUUUUUUUCCAAAAUAUCCACCGAUAUAUCUCCGAUAUAUCCAAUAUAUCUCCGAUAUCUCCGAUAUAUCCGUAAAAUCGAAGUACCGAUAUAUCCGUGAUUACCGAUAUUUUCAUCAUUGCUUAGAUGCAACCUUCUUCCAAAUGACAUACUUUAGUCAAUACUUAUAUUUUUUCGUUUCACUUCUUUGAUACAACACCUCAUGGAUUUAUUGUUUAAUUUAUUUGUAAUUAUAAAACUAUUUUUCAUUUUUAAUAAGACUUGAAUUAAUUUAAUAAAUAUUAUAUAAUUUGAAUUUAUAAUUCUUUUUAUAAAAUCAAAGUAUAUUAAAAAAAAAACAAUUUAUCCGAAGAAAGUUUUUUAUUUUUUAUUUUUUAAAACCGAUUUUAAAAAUAACUAGCUAGACACCCUUAUUUUGAUAAAAUACGAAAUAAAAGUGUAAAAACAACAUGGCCAAAUAGGGGCUUAAAUUUUAUUUUUAAAACAUUUUUUUACACUAAAGUGCAUUUUAAAAACACCAUCAAAACCAACUACAAGUUAUGCUUCUUCCCGUAAUAGAAAUAUUUUAGGCCAAAAUAGAACCUCCCCAAAUAAAGACCCUAUACUAAACUCCUUUUCAUUUUAUUAAUACAAAAGUGGGGAAAAAAGGUCUAUGCUCACCUAAAAAACAUGAAUAUUGUGAAUUCACCAUUUCUAUAAGGAAGUUGAAAACUUCAAAAUUUUAUCAACAAAUUCUCUAAAAUCCUCAAAAUAUAUAGGGCCUGUUUCACAAAGUUUUUUAAAAUUUGUUUUUAUAAAUUGCUUUUAAAAUAUAGAAUAAAUAACAGUUUUUUAGAUUUUUUGAAAAAUAAGAGUGUUUGGUAAGAUGUUUUUUUUUUUUUUUUUUUUUUUAAGAAUUAAAUAAAAAAUAAAAAAAUUGUUUAGAUAAAAGAAUUUGUAUUGUUUUUAAAAACAAUGUCUUACUUUUAUGUUAUAAAAAUUUUAUUAAUUUAAUUUAUAAUAAUAUGAAAUGAAAUUCAAGUUAAGUCUUAUUAAAAAAUACAAAUUAAAUCUAUAAUUAUGCAUGAGUUAAAGAUAAAUAUAUAUUUUUUAAAACUAUAAAAUAAAUUUUCUAUUAUAGUGAAACAAAAAUUACUAUAAAAUAAAAAUAAUUUUAAUAUUCAUUUUUAAUACAAGUCAAAUAAGUACUUUAAUUAAUUUUUUUUAUCAUGAUUUCUUAUGUUUUUUUUUUUUUCUAGAAAUUAUUUUAAGUAAUAUAACUAAUUUUUUUUUUAAUGUUUUAUAAAAAUAAGGAUAUUUGGCAAGUUGUUUUUAUAAAAGGAUUUUAAAAAUAAAUGGAUUUUUUUUUUUUUUAAAAAAAGAACAAAAUGAUUUGUUUGAAUAAAUUGUUUUGAUUUUGUAAAAACAUUUUAAAUUCAAUUUAUAUAAUAUUAAUUAAUUAAAUUAAAUUGAAGUUUUAUUGAAAAUAAAAAUAAUUUUGUAAUUAAAAUUAGAUUAAAAAAUAUAUAGGUUUUAAUAAAUCGUAAAUAGUAAUAUUAUAAUAAAAUUAUAAAUUAUAUUUUUAACAUAAAAUAUACUAUUUAUUACAUAUUAAAAAAAAUAUUUUAUUAUAUUAAUAAUUUUAUGGUAUUAAUGAGUUUAUUAUUUAAGUUUUAAAUUAUUUUUAAAAAUUAAUAAAUUUGUUAACAAAUGCAAUGUACUAAAUGUGGUUUAAUUUGGAGUUAAUUUGUUUAGGGAAAAAAAUAAAAAAUAAAAAUCUUAUGUAAAAGAGAAAUAAUAGAGUGUGUGUGUUUUUUUUUAUUAUUUUUAAAAAUCAGUAAAAAGAACUUUUACUUAUUGCCUAAAAAUUAUUCUCUAUUUUAUUUUAUUUUUUAAAUCUAGAAAUAGAUAACAAUAAUAAAAAAAAUUAAAAAAGAAAAAUGUUUUUUAAAACUCAGACUUAUAAUUGCUUUUGUUUCUCAUUCGCACCCCUGGAUUCCUGGAUUCUAAACACAAAAUUAAGUUGAAUCGUCCAUCUAUCUUGUAAGCCAAGAAUUCACAUAGAAGAAAUAAUCGGAAUUUGAUUUGAUAUCAGAUUUAGAGUGGCUCACUACUCAUGCAUUGUCCCACAAUAGUAAUGCUUUGGGCCGAGAUAAACCCAUUUGUGGGCCCAAAUAAAACCCCUGGUUUGAAAACAUCGAUUUUACAGUGGCCCAAAAGAUUAUCUAUGAGGGGAAGAUAACUUGGAAGUCAAGCAAACACAUUUAUCGCUAACUUUUCUCUAAUUAUAAAAUUAUAACUUGGUCUUCUACACGUCUCACUUAAGAGGCGGAGCCACUUGGCACUACCUUUCCAUAUUGUAAAAGGAGAAGAAGCAGAAGGAGAAGAUUCUUAUGCCAUUCCACACACCAUGGCUAGUACUGCUAUGCUGCUUGGCCCGCCGGCUCUCCGCCAUCCUAAUUCUCCCGCCGGCACUGUCUUUGAAGAUGGGGUCAUUCUAACGGAUUCCCUGAUCGUCCGCACCAGUAAUCUGGAGCUUUCUGAAAAACCGCCACUGGAAUCCCUGGCGUAGUGCUCUGUCAGUGGGGAUAUUGCUAUGGAUUGUUUGGAUUCCCAAGCCCACAAUCUUCAUCUUCCCGGGAAACCGCCGAUGGGCUUAACGGAAAACAAGUCUCCGACCUUUUUGUCUUCCGGGAACCCGUGCUUGGACUUCUUCUUCCAUGUGGUUCCCGAUACGUCGUCUGAUGAUCUGAUCCGACGGUUUGAGUUGGCUUGGGAAUUCAAUCCGCUGACGACGUUAAAACUGAUAUGCAACUUGAGAGAGGUGAGAGGCACCGGAAAAUCUGACAAAGAGGGUUUCUACACGGCGGUUCUCUGGCUCCACGACCACCAUCCCAAAACCCUAGCCUGCAAUGCUAGGGUGUUGGCCAGCUUCGGUUAUUUCAAGGAUUUUCUCGAGAUUCUCUACCGGCUUCUGGAGGGCCCUAAAAUUCGAAGAAUCGAAAAGAAAGACUGGCUGGAUCGAAAAGGAAGGAAGAAAAAUUCCCGGAAAAGGAACUCAAUAUUCAAGCGAGAAAAUAGGCCUGGAGUUGAAUUUCCUGUAGAAGAGAAGGAUGUGGAGUAUAUGGUGGAAGAAUUUGUGGAUAAAGAAAAGGCUAGGGUACUGAGAAAGGAGAGAGAACUUGCUCUUGCCAAAAGAGCCCUGCACAAGUAUUCUACUGAUUCUAAUUAUCAGUUCUUACAUGAUCAGAUUUCAGAUUUAUUUGCUGAACUUCUGAAAUCUGAUAUUCAGUAUUUAAACUCCGGUGAGCUUUACAAGAUUAGUCUCGCAUCCAAAUGGUGUCCCACAAUUGAUUCUUCUUAUGAUAAAUCCACCUUGAUAUGUGAAAAUAUUGCUCGAAAGGUUUAUUCUCGCGAGGAAUAUAUAUCCAGAAUACCAAGGAAUUGAGGAGGCUCACUAUGUUAAUAGAGUCAGGGAUAGGUUGAGAAAACAAGUACUUGUUCCAUUACGUAAGGCCCUGGAGUUGCCAGAGGUUUUCAUGUGUUCGAACCAGUGGGGAUCACUUCCCUACAACCGUGUGGCUUCAGUGGCCAUGAAAUCAUACAAGAGCCUCUUCUCAAAACAUGAUACAGAGCGGUUUGGUGUGUAUCUUGAGAAAGUGCAAACUGGGAAGGCUAAGAUUGCAGCUGGUGCAUUACUUCCCCAUGAGAUUAUAGCUUCAUUGAAUGAGGAGGAUGGCGAGAAAGUUGCAGAGCUUCAGUGGGCGAGAAUGGUGGAAGAUUUAUCAAAGAAUGGGAGGCUCACAAAUUGCAGUGCGGUAUGUGACGUAUCAGGAAGUAUGAGUGGAACUCCAAUGAAGGUGUGUGUGGCUCUGGGGCUGUUAGUUUCAGAGCUCAGUGAAGAUCCAUGGAAAGGUAAUGUAAUUACUUUCAGUGCAAGUCCUGAGCUUCACAAGAUCCAAGGAGACAGCCUUGUAUCCAAGACUGAAUUUGUGAGGAUGAUGGAAUGGGGUGCGAACACUGAUUUUCAGAAAGUUUUUGACAGAAUCUUACAAGUAGCAGUGGAGGGAAAUCUGAGUGAAGAUCAAAUGAUAAAGAGGGUUUUCGUUUUCACUGAUAUGGAGUUUGAUGAAGCUUGUGGGAGGUAUAACUAUUGUGAAUAUGACUAUGAUAUGGAGGAAAUUGAUGAGAGUCAGAAGGCAUCUCAGAAGUGGGAGACAGAUUAUGAAGUGAUACAGCGGAAAUUCCAGGACAAAGGAUAUGGAAAAGUUCCGGAGAUAGUGUUUUGGAACCUUAGAAACUCAUCAGAGACUCCAGUGAUGGCCACAGAGAACGGGGUGGCCUUAGUAAGCGGGUUUUCGAAGAAUCUGUUAGACCUUGUUUUUGGAAGGAGGUGGAAUUCUGACCCCUCAGGAUGUGAUGGAAUUAGCCAUCUCUGGUGAAGAUUACAAGAAACUUGUUCUAUUUGAUUAAGAUAUCAAGAGAUUUAUCAAUAAUAAUAUGUUUUUUUUUUUCUAUGUGAAAUACAUGUAAUAUUAACUAUGGAGUUAUCAAAGUUCUGGAAAUUUAAUUAUUUCUUCUUUUCAAGUUUUGUUUGUCUUUGUUAGGAAUUCCCCUUGGGCGGACCCAGCUGGGGACUUGGAUUGAGGAAGUAAGGAGGCGAAAUUGUGUUCUUCUAUGGACAGAGAAAAAAGAUAAAAAUAAAAAAUAAAAAAGGAGGUUAUUUGCAUUUGGAUGUCAUGUGGUUUCAGGGUACAACUACAAGUUCGAAAUUGUACAUAAUGUGAAAAUUCCUGUGUGGAGAACAGCAUAAAUAUGUAUCUCAGUGUGUUUUGUUUGAGCUAAUUGGCAAAUUCGCUUUAAACAUGGUCACAUGGAUGCAUAUUUAUUUGUGAAAUGAUAGUAGUCGAUUACUUGGUCAGUAAGGUUUGUAUCUCUAACUCCAACAUCUUAUUGUAGUCUUUUAAAAUGUCAAAAGUUUAAUGCUAGCUUGAGAAAUUUUGGAAUGGAGACAUUCUAAACAAAGUUAAUAAUCCAUGAGACUUGGUAAAACCGAUCAGAUGAUGCUUACGUACAUGAAUGCCUUCUUUAAGCCGUAUCCUAUUUUCAUUGAAUGAGACGUGCCAUCUAGUUUUGUUCUUGUCUUGAUUGGAUCAUGAUCCCGGGAAUUGAUUACUGUUCUGAAUUUGCGAAUGUUCAAGGUAUUAGAGAAAGUUAAUAUUAUCGUUAAUUUACAUAUUAGUAUUUAUCUAGUUAUUAUAUAUUAGUUUGAAUUAUAAUAUAAUAUAGAAUUUGAAUCAAGUUUACUAUUAGUUUGAAUUACAAUAGGAAAUAAAGUUUGAAUUAUAGUAUAACUCAAAUAUAUUUGUAUAUAAAUAUCCAUCUUUAUCAAUGAGAAUAGUAAACCAUAUUUUUCUCUAUCUUCUUCUUUCUCUAUAUAUAUGGUAUCAAAGCCUCCAAAUCCUAAACCUAGUCUCAACUUAGAGCAAAUUUAGGGUGCAGGGUUUAGGCCCCGCCUCCCCCAACCCUUACCACAAAUGGUAGUGACCUUGUUAUGCCUAUGUAUUGUCAAUGCCUCAUUUUCUAUGGUCUUCAAUACAAUAUCUAGUUUCAAUGUCUCUUUCCUUACUAUCUCCAAUGCAAUAUAUUGAUUUCAAUAUCUCUUUACAACCAAGAGCUCCAAAUUUUCCUGGUUCAAAUCUACCAUAAUUUUUAUUCUCCUUUGCUUUUUACCAAUAUUAGUUCCCCUAAUUUAAUAUAUAUCUCUUUAUUACCUUCAACUCUACCUCUCUCUUUCUUUAAAAGCUUCCUCAAAGAUUUGAUUGCUUUCUUGCAUGUUUUGGGAAAACAAACAUGCUCAUAUUCUAUUACCUCUACUUGAGAUCUGCCUUAUACUCUACCUUCUUCUUUACCUCCUAUAUCAUCUACUACAUUAGCUUCAAAAACAUUAUUUAGUUUGAUGCUAAAUAAGGCUCCUAAUCCUACCCUUCCUUCAACUAACUUUCUUUUACAAGUCCCUCAAAGUUUUUUUUUUUUUUUUUUUGGAAAUUUGGCUUAGAAAGAUUUCAUUACUCUUACCUAAUCUUUCAACCAUCAAGUCGAAUCCACUUAUCUCUUGAAUCCAAGGAGACUACCCUCCACAAAAACAAGGAGAUUGACCCCCACAAUAACAAAGAGAUUGUCCUCCAUAGAAACAAAGAGAGCUUCCUUCAUGGAAGCCGAAUACAUCGCAAUCUAUUUUCUUUCUCUCAAGAUCAAAUCUCCAAUCGGAGCUCCAUCUUGUGGGGAUAUAUUAGAAAAAGUUAAUAUUAUCCUUAAUUUACAUAUUAGUAUUUAUCUAUAUUAUAUAUUGAAUUAGAAUAGAAUAUAGAAUUUGAAUUAAGUUUACUAUUAGUUUAAAUUACAAUAGGAAAUAGAGUUUGAAUUAUAGUAGAACUCAAAUAUAUUUAUAUAUAAAUAUCCAUCAUUAUCAAUGAGAAUAGUAUUCCAUAUUUUUCUCUUUCCCUGAGGCUUCAGAAUGUGAUCUUGAACAUUUGAUCUUUUGGAUUCUUCUUGUUUCGGUGGUUUAAUAUAAUGGAAUGUUUAAUUAUAGCCUACUUUAUCACCAUGGAUGUGCUCCUGCAGAUUUCUUGAGGGUGAUGGUUAUUUUGUCAUGUUUCUUGAAUGGUUUGCAUCAGCUGCCUGAGCUGUUGUUGCUGGUCACUUUUGCAACCAGGGAAAGAAUCAUGGCUUUGGAGAAGCCAGCUUCUGUUUUUGUUGCCCAGCUGUUAGUUCACUAAGAUUGGGGGUCCUAACAUGUAUGUAUAAUCAUAAGCAAGGAAAUUUUAUGUCUUACGCUAGAUAGGUACCAUGAUAUGAUGUUUGAUUGAUUUAUUAACUCUACCUGUUUCAAAAGGCAUCAACAUUAAUUUUACCCUUUUAACACAUUGGAUUGUUUGACCUUACGAGAUUUUCUAUUUCUGUACUAUUUGAACUGCAAUCGUUAUGGUCCUUAGGUCUCUAAACCUUCGUUUAAAAUAAAAGUAAGGAGCACACAUAGUAAAAGUUAAUUUUGGGUAACUUUUAAAACAAAGAGAAAAGUAAAAGUUGUUUUUGAGAAAAACAUAUAGAAAUUGAAAGAUUUUUUAUUUUGAGAAAAAAAAGUCAUAGAAAAGAAAUAAUAUCCCCAUAUAAGUAGAUAUGAUCUAUCCGAAGUGUAGCUACUCUCCUGGAUUUAUUCUAACAUUUUAAAAUUUUUCUCAAUGGGCAAAGGAAUAUCAAAUCAAGCUUGAGUAGGAUUAAUUUCUUAAUUUUUAAAAUAACUUAUAAUUAAAAUUUUUUGGUGUUUUCUUUUUUGGACAAUUUUUUAUGAAGACUCUGAAUCAUGCAAGAGAUAUGGUUAUUUUAAAAAAAAAAAUAAUUUAAAACUCAAAUACAUAAUCAAUGUCACAAAUUUAUAAACAAAAGGUUUUUAAAAAAUACUAUUAUUUCCCCUCUACACAUAAUUUUACUUUUCCGAUUUAUUUAUUUUUGUUGGAAAACAGUCUUCAAAUCAAGUAAAAUUAAUAUGUUAAAUUUGUUAAACAAAUAAAUUUUAAAAUACAAUUUGGAACUCAAAAAUCAAUUCAAGUAAUGCUAAAAUUCAAAAAAUCAAAUUUGGAAUAAAAUGACUUUGUAAAUUUUUUUACUAAACAAAUGAAUUUUAAAUCAAGUGAGAUUUAAUACAUUGGAUUUUUAUGAGAAUAGUAAUUUUAAAAAUUAAUUUGGAACUCAAAAAUAGACACAAUAAAUACCAAAAAUCAAUGAACCAAAAUUGGUUUGGAAUAACUCCAUAAUUUUUUAUUUAUUUAUAUAUUUAUUUUUUUGUGCACACGAAUUUCUUACUAAGCAUAUUGCUUCCAAAUUGAGAAAAAUUUACUAUUUAGAUUUUUUUAAUGAGUUUAAUGGUAUUUAAAAAUAAUUCAAAAAUUCGAAAAUUGACUAAUUUAAUAUUAUAAAUUCAUAAACCAAGACUAAUUCAAAAUGCAUUGGGGGCUAAGGGGGUUGAAAUUAAUGCUCCAUUUGGUUGUGGCCACCAAUUGGCAAUGGCCACCAAUCAACCAAUCAAGGUGGCUAAGGGGGUUGAAAAUAGGGACAAUGGGGUGGGUUUGGGACAGGACACUCAUAUCCCAUUCCCAUCCCAAUUACACAGUUAUUUCCCAUCCUUAUUCCAAACUUGUGUUGGGGCAAGUUGAUUUGUUCCCAUCUUUGUUAACGAAAUGACUAAUAACCUCAUCCUCUCCUUGUCUUAGAUGUACAUUUUCUCAAAUUUGGUCAGGUAUGAUUGAUUCAAGCCCUAACCUUAAUUGGUAAUGAGUGGAUACCACACCUAAUUGCAUUCUUCUUUCGUUGCAAAAUAAUGAGAUUAUAAUAAUCUAGCAAAUAAGAAAAAAUAGUAUGGAAGUUCAAAUUAACACCAUAACUAUCAAUAAUUUUAAGCUUAUAGAUGACUUAAAUGAUUGAAAACUAAUGCAAAAUACUAAAAAAAAAAAAAAUCAUCUAAAGAAUUCACAAGAGAAUAGAACGAACAAAACCAAAUAGGAACAUGGGUCAACAUUAGUUACAGAUUUUGAUCCCUUUCAAGGCCAAUCUUUGAACCAAGACUUCAUCAAAUCUACUACUUCAAAGGCUUUUGUGUUCUUCUUGAGUUGUACUCUGGAACAAAGACUUCGAGGUGAUGCUUUAGAUGAUUGCAUUACACAUAUUUAGGGUAGGGAGAUUGGAGAAGCUUGAAGAUGCCAACGAUGGGUACAAUUGAGUGGUCAAUAAGAACAAUGUGGCCUAUGACUAGUUUGAUGUCAUGGUAUAGGAGUUUUGGGCAUUGAGGUGAAAGCAAGAGCAACAUGGAAUUGAUUUCAAAGUCUUUCAAUUAGUGUAAAGGAGGAAGAAGAAGUGGUAUUGAUCCUAGAAAUAGUGUUUUAGGUGUUGCAUUAGAGGAAAAGAAAAAGAAAAAGAAGGAACCAUUGGAAUUAGUACGAGUGUGAAGAGAGAAGUGUAUACAUAAGGGGAAGUAAAAGCAAAGUUCUAAAAAUUUAUUUUUUUAUUGGUGGUGUAUGGUUGCAUGAUUAUCCCUAUAAAUAAUAGGAGUUUUUUGGUGUUCUACUAGUAGUUGAAGGAUAAUUUCAUAAGAUAAUAUUUAGAGCGGGGUGGGGUGAGUUGUGACAAAAUCCAUACCCGUCCCAAACAUUGGUUCAGGUUUUUAAAAUAUUUUCAAACUUAUCAUAUACCCAAUUUUAUAUUUCAUACUUGUCCUAAUAGAGACAGGUUAGUCAGGGUUACUUGAGUAGCCUACAAAACUAUCAUCCCUAGUUGAAAUGCUCUUUUUGGCAGUGGCAGCUAGAAGCUCGAUCGAUUGACCUACAAGACUAGUUGUCAUCAUUUUAAAAAGAGUUUUGGCUUUGGUUGUGAGUGCAAUUGAAUCUAAACUAACAUUUCCUUAAUGCAUCUACUUCAAUCCUAAACUUCUUACUUAAGCCUCAAUUGUUGUUAAGAUUUUGGAAAACCCAUUUCCUUAAAUUGUAAAUUUAAGAAAAAAAAAAUUAAAAGUGAGACAUUUCUUGAUUGAAUGUUGUUAAAGGUCCCUUGGAAUUAAGACUUGGUUGAAGCCUUGGAAGAUUAGCAGAACUCUCAACUUAUGUUUGAACCUUGAGGAGAGUGGACGUAGGCCAAAAUUUUGUCAAACCAUUAUACAAAUUGAGUUUGAAUUCUCAUUUCUUGAUUUCUUAUUUAUUUGCUUUUUCUUAUUAUUACUUGAAUUGUCAUUUGCAUUCAUUAAUGUUAAAAUUGGUUAUAAUUAGCCAACACUAAUUCUCUUUCCCCUUCCCUUAAUUUCUUGGGUGUAAACCUAGGUUGGAUUAACUAGAUUUUAUCAAAUCUAUUAAGAUGGUAAAAGAAUAAUUAUUCUUAACAUACAUAAGAUCAUCUUCAAUCAAAUGACUCAUUGGCUGAUAUGUUGAAUUUGCUUAUUACUUGCAACUCAAAAUUGUGUUCUAGUUGAUAUGUCAAGUCCUGAGUGUAUGGACAUUAAAUUUGUAGUACGUGAUGAGUAUUUAGAUGGUCCAAUUCCAAGAAAGUGAUUGAAAACUAGUUCAAGAAAGGUGCAAAAGGGAAUUGUUUUGGUAUUUUCGUUUUUAUUCUUGAAGGUGGCAGAGCUAAAAUUUGAGAAAUCAAGCAAAACAUACUGAAAUUACAUUGAAAGAAAGAAAAUGGGAGUUAAUGUCUUGCAGUACAUGAUAAGGACUUCAUGCAUGUAGUGUGACCCAUGUCUUGGACUGAUGCCACACUCACGGUUACACUUAUACCCUUAGUUCUCUCUUUACUACCUUAGCUAACCUAGAUCAGGUUAUGAGAUAGGCACCUCACCACACCAUUACUUGCCCAUUAAUUAGUGACAUUUUCAAGCAAUGAGGUAACAUGGUGACACCAAGAGGGUAUAUUCCUCACCCCCAACAAGCCUAGACCUGGUCUAAAAAAAAUGGAGAAAAAUGACGUGUUGUUAUGCAGAAAUAUAGCAACCAUGCCUUCCUCAUUACUUAGAUUCAGAAUGUGAAGGUGAAAUUGAGAAACAGAAACUCUUGAAACCAAAAUGAAAAUUGAUACUUUUACGAAGAAUUACAACAACAUUAGAGGAAGACUACAUUCUUCCUCUUUAUUCCUACAUUUCUACACUACUUCUACUCCACUCCAUAUUUCUACAUACAUCUUUAAUCAGUCUUCCCUCCUUUAUAUAGAGCCAUCUUCACACAAAUUCCGCAAGGUAGAAAAGAGGAAUGAAACUUGGAGCAAGGUUCGACUACUGGCUGUAGCUUGUCAAGGCUGAAAGUGAACUUUUUUUCUUGGCUUUUCUGGGCAUAGGUAGUAACUUGUAGGUUCCUUUUUGGAAUGAAAAUGGUACGGCUAGAACAUGUGGCACUCUCUUGUUGGAUGAUGUGUCAAGCAUGUGGCAGCCAUCUAGUGGAGAUUAUGUCAAUUUUGGGAUGGAGAGUUGGCAUCCAAUUGCAAAGAAAUAUGACAUCUACCAACAUGCAAUGUCAACCUAUGUAGAUCAUAUGAAGAUAGAGAGGAAAAAUAUAGAAAUGGAUAUAUAACUAGAACUAGCUUUUUAUUAAAUGAGACGGAGAGCCAACAAUGAAGGAAAAUCAAAAUUUUUGGCUCAUAUCAAAGAAUUCACAUUGUGUUACCCUAGGUUUUCUUAAAACUUACUUUUAUGAUAAUAAAAAAUCAUUAUUGUUUAAUCCUUUGUUUUAAACGCAUGUUUAGCAGGUUGUAAAAUGUAAAUAUCUUUCGAAAUUCAAAUAUGAAGAUAUGACAUCAUUUCAAGCAAUAUAGUCUCUAGGAAUUAAUGUAAAGCUAAAUUAAGGUGCAAUUAAGUUAGUUCAAUGCAUUAUUUUAAGAAACUUGACCUAUCAAAACCUUGUCUUACUUCAAAGCCUCUUUUUCUUUUCUUCCAACUAACAUUUUAAUAAGUGAUCGCAAAAGUACAAAAUUAGAUGAAAUCCAUUUCAAUGGUUAAAAUGAUCAAAUUCAAACUUUUUCUAAGUAUCUUUUAAAAGCAUCAAUAUUGAAAGACAAUUUUAUAUUUAGUCAAAGCUUGGACAGAGCCAAAAAGCACACAAAAAUUUAUAUUUUCUAGCUCUCUACCUUGGAUGGUCUCUUGAUCCUACUUGGAGAUGUGCAUAAAUAAAAGGAUUUGAAAAUGACAAUUGACUAAGUAUGUAGUCAAUCAAUUACUCAUUGAUUGACUAGUUGAUCAAUUAACUUUGCAACAUCAUAUGCAAUCCUAAUAGCUAGUCAUCUAAUCAACUAGGUAGUAAAUCAAUAGGCCAAAAAUAUGUUUAUAAUGACUAUUUUGUACAAAAACCACUUAUAUAGUUAAAUAUAAUGCAUUUCAUUUAUAAAUCUUCUAAUUCUUGAAUAACAAUCCUAUCAUCCUUUGAAAGUUUUUAUUACACCUUUUCUACAUUUGUUCUAAAACUUAUACAUCACCCUUAAUUGUACCAUGAGAACCUAGCAUUUUUUUUUUUUUUUUUGUAUUUCAUCAAAGUUAGCUCUUGUACUCAUUGUUGUAUUAUUUUUAUUGUAACUUAGAGAGCGAGUGUUUUCAAGUGAGUGAAAUUGACUUGUAAAUAUUGUAAAGAUUCAUUGAUAUGUAUCUCAAACUAGGUGUACAAGUUGAAACAUUUGCUAGUAGAUUUUCUCAAGAUUUAGAAUGAGCUUAAGGCUAUCGAAUUAGGUGGGGUUGCGCCAAACCAUAUCACAUCGUUGUUUGCACCUUUUUUUUCACUCUCUUUUACUUAGUUGCUCUAUAUAUAUUGUCUAGCAAUAUCCUAAAGGCUUGAUGGGCUAGGGAGCAUCCCUCUGAAUGAAAAAUUUUCAUUCAAUUCUUAGUUGUAUUACGCAUAUAUAAAAUGCCUCAUUGUUUUAAUGGUAUUCAGUCGUGGCACCACAGAUAUGGACAUCUAAAUUUUAAAAGUUUGAAACUUUUAGCUAAAGAAAAUAUGGUGCUUUGCCUUUUUGGAAAGCAUGUUGAUGAAAUCCAUGAGAAUUGUAUACUUGGAGAGCAACAUCGAGAUAACUUUUUUUUUUUCUUUUUUUAUAAUGCAUUGUUUGUCCAAAUUCCGUACAAAUUAGGCCACCACAUGUUCAUAAUUCUCCCUUCUUGAAUUUGAAAACUCGGACAAUUUGACAAUGCGACACCUAAGUCCGGUUUUUAAAUGCUAAAGUGAAAGGGCAGGUAUGGACCAUUGAAAUGUGAUAACAACUUUUGGCCUUUUCCUUUUCUCUGUAGCCAUGUUGUCUCUUUUUAAUUUCUUUUGCAUGAUUUUCUUACCUAAACAGAAUCAUAGACUUGUUUAAUCUCUAAGUGGGAUUUCAUCCACCUUAAGCUACUGUAUUAUAUCUCGGUGGAGGACAACCGACAUAGAGCACAUGCAAGUGGGUAUAUGGGACAUGAAAUAUCUUCUUAUAAAGCUUGUUUUGCAGUUAAAUUAAUUGGAUAAGUAGACACUGGCGUUUCUAAAUUUCCCACCUAAGAUAAUGACCUUAUCCUUGACUGCUAGAUACACAAACAAUUAUACCUUCAAAAUCUACUGUGAAGUGCUUCAUGUAUGUGUGAAGUAUUAGAAAUUUCUUUCUUGGCAACUUGUUUUUUUCUUUGCGGUCUACUGAUAGGUUUGACUAAAAUUAUAUUCCCUGUCCUGCUAAUUAAUUUUCACGUGCAUGCUCAAAAGAAGAGUAUGACCUUAGUGCACCAAAAUCACUUUCAAUAAUUUGUGAUAAGUUUUUUUGCAUGACAUUAACCUUAUUCAUUUAGAUAAUGUUUAGUUCUCAUAAAUAUUAAGAAAAUGAAAAUAAAUAUUAAGAAAAAUAUUCUUAUAUUUGAUUGUAUUAUGAAAAAUAUCAUAAAAAAUCAAAUAUAAUUAAAAUUAAUUAAUAAUUUAUAUAUUUUAAAAUUAUUUAAUUUUUAUAUUAAAGAUAUAAUAUAAAUGAAAUGAGUUUUAAGUAUUAUAUAAAAAUGAUUUAUUUAUUUAUUUAUAUAUAUAUAUAUAUAUAUAUUUAGUUUUUCUCUUUAUUUUAUUUUCCUUAUGUUUUCCUCACAUUUUCCGGAAUCAAAGAUAGGGAAAUCCACAAUUACCUUCAACUGAGUAGAUUCUAUUGUUUUAGCAAUGUUAGGCUGCUAACUUGUGGUGGUACGAACCAAAUGAUCCAUGUUAAUCUUGGCUUGAUUUAAUUUGGCUCUAUCUCAGAGAACUCAAGGAUCACGUCAACUCUGGUUUCUACUAUUCAGGUCCAUUCCCAGAUGAACUGGUUCAAAUUUGAGAAAAUGGUAACAGACCUUUAGUGAUAUUGGUUUGGAGCCAGUUGCCAAACCUGCCCUGAGCUUUACCACUAAUGUCAAGGGACAAAGCCAUUUGAACAAAAACAAUAGCUUCAAGAGACUGAAUCGUGGAUGAAAUCUGAUCCACAUUUCUUCUCAUUUUGGGAAAAAAUGAGGACUUAACCACAAAGAUUCUACUGCCUCAUAGUGCUUUUCCUGAUCUAAGGUUGGCUCGUUUCCCAAAUUGUGAGGUGCACGUGCCACUCUCACGCUCAGGAGUGUAUCCACGUGGUGGACAUAAGAUGGUGGCUUAAUAUCUGGUGUCGGUGGCUUUACUUUACUAGGAGAGUAGUGUGUCUUCAUCUCAUUCACUGCCAGAGGGUGGCGUAAGCAGUGACGCUAAGGUGGGGCACAGUCAAUAUCAUUUGCAUUUGACCAUUAUAAUUUUCUCCCGGCUUUAAAGUAACCUUAUCGUGAUAAUGGAUUACUAGCACUAGUUCAGAUGACAGUCAUGUUAAAUUCGGACCAUGUUUGUGUCACAUUAUCAGCAACCAUGUGCUUGUGGUUCAUGCUAUCUGCAACUAAACUUGAUAUAUAACCAGGUGAACUUCAAUCUAAAUUCUGGAAGUACUCAUGUGAUAGAUGGUGCCUGUCUGCAGUGAGUGUAUCUAUAAGAGGGAAGGCUUGGCAAAUGUUCAGUUUUCUGGGAAUUCAACAGGGAUCUAAAAUAGAUUGUUUUCUUUGCUGAUUUCAAUGGUUGAAAUUUGAGAAGAUUGUGUCCACAUAACACAACUAUUACUGGUCCUUCUGUUGCAAUUUAUCCUCUAAGGCUCUAACAUGUCUUCCAAUUCCCACUUCCCACUUCCCUGUUACUCCAGGAAAGCUGUUUCUGUCAUUGUGAAGAAGAAAAGAGACUGUACAUAUCGAUGCUUUUAAGUGGACUGGAGAAUUCAUAUCAGGUGGUCUGCAGCCAUACAUGCCACUUUGUGAAGGUUGGAACAGUCAAUCACUAGGCUAUAUUAGUGGGGCCCAGCCACUUCAAUCAAGGACAAGUCUUCAUACUUAAAGUCAAAUUCUGCCUUUAGUCUCAUUAUAAAUUGCUGUUUAAAUAUCAAGCAAACAUUUGUUUAAUGCGAUUAAGACAGCACUAACUCAAUACUUGUUCUAUUUUUGGAUGCAAAUGCUUGAUAGUUUCAUCAUUGGAGGGGAUAAAGGUGCAUUCAUGAUUAUGAAUACUUGUAGUUAUAUUUUCAUUCUCUUUUUUCUCAAUGGGACUUGUUGGCACAAUUUUGCUGUUCAGAAACCUACCUCUCCAUGGAAAAUCAGUUGUGAUUGAUAUUACUGGAUAUAUUCAAGAAAGCUAAAUGUAGAUAGCACAAAAUAUUAUCGACAUAAAUAGCAUUAACAGCGUACGUAUGUCUCAAUGCUCAUCAGCUAUAAGCAAGGGGCAAACACUUACUAUGAGCAACUUACGUCAAAAUUCCGGAAUAGGACAUAGAAGUGACAGGUCAGUAAAUAUAGAACACUGCAUAUGAGUCACAAGAAAGGAAAUUACGGGUACAUAGCAGCUCUUAUUUUACAUCCUACUCAUACUGAUCAAAGUCACUCAGUUGGGAUGGGUGGGAGUGGGAGGUUUGUGGGGUGGCUUGUGCGGAGGAGUUGGCAGCUUCUUUCCAGGACCUGGUUGCUUCUCUGCUGGAGUUGAAGGAGGCUUAAUCUUCCGAGGUGGCUUGUAUGAGUCUUCAGCAUUCUCAGCAGGAGGGUGACCAGGGUUGUGACCACAAUGUGGUGGCUUCUCUCCCUUAGGUGGUUUGCCAACUGGGGUUGGUGGCUUGUGUUCCGGAAGUGGCUUCUCUUUGUGUUCAGGAGGUGGCUUCUCCACUGGAGGCUUGUGUUCAGGAGGUGGCUUCUCCACCGGAGGCUUGUGUUCAGGAGGUGGCUUCUCCACCGGAGGCUUGUGUUCAGGAGGUGGCUUCUCCACCGGAGGCUUAUGCUCUGGUGGUGGCUUCUCCACCGGAGGCUUAUGCUCUGGUGGUGGCUUCUCCACCGGAGGCUUAUGCAAUGGUGGUGGCUUCUCCACCGGAGGCUUGUGUUCAGGAGGUGGCUUCUCUACCGGAGGCUUAUGCUCUGGUGGUGGCUUCUCCACCGGAGGCUUAUGCUCUGGUGGUGGCUUCUCCACCGGAGGCUUGUGUUCAGGAGGUGGCUUCUCCACCGGAGGCUUGUGUUCAGGAGGUGGCUUCUCCACCGGAGGCUUGUGCUCUGGUGGUGGCUUCUCCACCGGAGGCUUAUGCUCUGGUGGUGGCUUCUCCACCGGAGGCUUGUGUUCAGGAGGUGGCUUCUCCACCGGAGGCUUAUGCUCUGGUGGUGGCUUCUCCACCGGAGGCUUGUGUUCAGGAGGUGGCUUCUCCACCGGAGGCUUAUGCUCUGGUGGUGGCUUCUCCACAGGAGGCUUGUGUUCAGGAGGUGGCUUCUCCACCGGAGGCUUAUGCUCUGGUGGUGGCUUCUCGAAUGGGGGAUGCGUAGGGUAAUCAGCUAGUGAGGGGGCGGUGAGAACCACCAGGCCAAGCAACACUACUAGCAAGUAUGUAGGAGACAUCUUUGGGUUUGGGCUCAGAUGGUGCAAAACUAGGAGAAUUGGCUAGCCUUUUAUAGCGGAUCGUACCCAAUAAUGAAAUGACACGUGUCAUUAUGACCCAUGUGUCAUGUGGUCGAUUUGGGUCCUACAGUGUUGAAAACUUCGACAUCCACUUUUUUGGCCUUUUGCUUUCUCUACAGUCGCCUUGCUUUUUCCCUCUUUUCUUUUGUUUUCCUCCUGCCCCAUUCUAUCAACUAAUCACAAUUAUGUAGUUGUUUAAUUCUUAAAUGAGAUAUUAUCCGUCAAUCAUAUUAUCUUUUAUCAAGAGAGAACGGAGUGAAAAGUGGCAAUCCAAAGAAAGAAGAUCCAUAAUGCAGCUGUAAUUUUAUCGUUUACUUUUAUCUCUAGGACCACUGCAUUUUUGUUGAGAGGUGCAAUAAUACACGUCUUUAUCUGCCAUUCAAUGUUUACAGUAAAGAGAGGGCACAAAACUCUUCACUGCUCUGCAUGUGCCCCAAAAAUGCAAUUGGACAAAUUAUGAUUUGCAUGCUAAAAAGAGGCAAAUGAGGUUAAUUAGCACCAAAAUUAUUUUGUUUUCUGGACACCCCGGGGCCCUUUGGUUGGUUUGGGGGUCAGAAAAUGAACAUCAUAGGGGGUUUUUCCCUAAUGUGCAUUUGCAUUUGUAUCUGAUGGCUUUAACUCGCCUUGUUACUACAAAGAAAUUGUCACAGAUAGGAACUUAUUCCAGGCUGAGUAUCUCCGCAUGGACCCUAUAAAAGAAGACAAGUCAUAAUGAACAUCUAACCUUUGUUCAAUUUGAUUCAAUGCCCCUAUUGUGUCCAUCUCACAAAUCUGAAUUAUUAUAUCCAUUGAAUACAUAAAUUAAUGAAGAAAAUAUGAAACCCAAGAUACAUCUCUGCACAACCUCAACCCUGGUUGCUAUGUUUCACUUCUAUUCACAUGAGGAUAUUGAUUACGGAAUAAGGAAACCUAGCAAGGGUUUACUCGGCUCUGGUUUGAUGCUAAUUGCCAAACUUGCAACAAGCCCUGAGUUUGACACCUAAUCGAUGGGCGAAUUAAAAGUCUCCUCCAAACAUAUAUUCCACAGCUUGAAGCUCACAGAAGAUGCUAUACAGGCAGGGAAAAACCUUCAGAGUUAGCUACCAAAGAUAAUUAUCAAGGAGAUAUCACCAAGAGAAUUCCAUGGAGUCUGAAUCAAAGACAAAUUGCUCGCUCGUGGGGGUUCUUACUUAAUUUCUUUUGGGUAUAACUCACUGAGGGCACUGGCUUUGUUAUUUGCAUUUCGCAUUUAGAGUUCUGUUCUGGAAGGUUUGUUCUGGAAACAUAUAAAAGGAGCAUCAUUUUGUUCUAGGGUAACCCAUAGUUGUGAGUGGGUCCAUUUGCAUGCUACUUAGUUGAAAAGUUGGACAAUUUGCUCCGACGCCUACCUCCUGGAUUCCAUGCUCGGAUAAAGCAAGAAUAAUAAAAUAUUUAUAAUUUACAAAUGGGGGAAAGAAAAAAAUGUCAACAACAAACUAGGAAAAAAGAGUAGUAAAAUUUAUGCCACAUGCUAUUGAUAGAAGGGGCAUGUAUUAGAUCCAUCACCAUUUGGUAAGAUUUUAGUAUUAUAUUUUUCAAGGUUCAUUAUUUGAGGGUGUGUUCUUCAUCUCUGUUGCAUUGCUUCUUACUAGGCCCACUGAGGUGGGUUCUUCACCUUUUGUAUAUUCUCUGCACUAGAUCAAUGAGAAAGGGGGAAUUUUGGUGAAUUUGCAGCCGUUGGAUGAUUGAUUCUAGGCUCAGUCCACCAAUGAUGCUCUCUUCACUCUUUCUCAUCUAGUGUCAUUCACAACUAUGUUUUGAUUCAUAUUUGUACUAUCAAAGAUAUCUCAUUAUUCUAGCUCAUUAGGUAGAGUUCCUAAUCUUCCUCCUUUUUGGUCUAUGGACAGUAUUGGCUUCAUAUUAAGAUCAUGUUUCAAUAAUUGCACAUUAAUGAAUGGAUCAUGACCCACAUAAACAGAGUCAGGGUUGAGUCAGUGAACCCUAAAAUUUCACAAUUCUAAAUUUGGGUUCUUUAACAAUGCAGGGUCAAGGACGCGUGGUGAUGAAGGAAAGCUGGUAAGCUCAGUGUUACUUCAAUUCCUGCCAUGUAGGAUGGUGAGGAGAUAUUCACUAUGCAAUUAAUAAUAGACAAUAUUCACUAUGCAAUAAUAAAGCAUAAAUUAAGUUGAAUGAAAAGCAUUUUCUUUGCAAGGAGUUGAUUUUGGUUUCAUAGUUUGUUCAACUGCUAUUUUGGAUAGGAAAGUGUGAGGAGAAGAAAAUAAAAAAUAAAAAUAAAACAAAAAAUAAAAAAUAGAUUUUAUAAAUUCAUUUAAUUUAUUUUUUUUUUAUAAAAAUUAACUAAUUUAAAAUAUAUGUAAAUUUCUAAUUAAUUUAAUUACAUUUUUUUUUUCAGUUUUUCAUAAUAAACCAAAUAUUAGAAAAUUAUUUUUAUUAAGACACCCAAGAUGAGGUAAUAUGCAAUGAAAACAUGAAUUAUAUUAAAAUUCAAAACAAAUUAAGAGAAAUCGGAAAAUAUACAUAGAUAUCUAAACAAAGAAAUUUAAAGAGAAGGAACCACAAACUUUAUUUACAUAAUUUGAAAAUAAAAAACAUAAAACAUACUUAUAGUAAGGAGAAAUUGAAUAUCUUACAAUGGAAGAAGGGAGAAAAGCUUUGAAGAAAGCUUUUGCUUGGAAGCUUACAUGGUGAGAGGUAGAGAAAGGAGAGAGAGAGAAGAAAAUGAAAAAUGAGAAGUGGAGAAAAUUGGAAGUUUUGUGUGCUUACAACUGAGGAUAGAGCCUCCUUAAAUAGCAAAAAAUGGAAUAUUAAAUAGUACCAAUCAGGAGACAAAAUAUUGUUUGCUUUUGAAACCCGUGCAUGAAUAGUAAUCCCGUGAGUGAAUAGUGAAUAAUAAAAGUGAAUAGUAAAAGUCACUUUCUACUAUAGCACUUUAGACUUUUUCAUCGAGAAUCUUACUUUCGGCUGAGUGAUGAUAGCUGAUAGGUUGCUUUGGAUUGUGGAGUCAUAUGUUUGAUGUUUUCGGUGCUGAAACCGCUUAGUUGGAGAAUAAUCUCGUCAGUAGAGCAUCAUGAGAAGCUUGAAUGGAGAGAGCUUAAUGAUGCCAUAUGAUUGGAAGGAAUCCUAUUUUAAUUUCCUUAUUGGAGGGAGAAUACCCUCACAAUCAUCUUCAUUAUCUUGAAGGUAGUUUGAUAUAGAGUCAUCUGACUCAGCAUAAGAGUCCUCUUGGGAGAAGCUUGAACUGCUUUUGUCAAGGAUUUUCUGAAAUUCUUGAGGGGUUUUUGCUAUUGCUAACAUGGUUUGGAGUUGCUGUUUCUUAAGAAGAAACUGUGCAAUAUCAUAAGAUGAUGAAGCUUGUGUAGGAUGCUUUAGGAAAUAUUGCUUUAUUGCUUGUAGUGAGGUAUCAUUUUUCAAGGCAUCCCACCACUUAGACUUGAAAGUCCUUCCAAGGGUUGGAAAGGCUGCUGAUUCAUCUGCUAUAAUGAUAUAAUCCCACUGGACUAUCCAGGCAAGGCCAAAUUCACUAAAAAAGAAUAAUAAUUGGGGAAAACUGAAAGUUCUCUAGGGAUAACAAAAGAACUUUGGAAUAGCUCAAAGCCAUCCAAAAUGGGUUUUGGGAGAAUUUUAAUAGUUGGACCAAAAUAUGUCCACCAAUUGUGGAACCAAAAUGGAAAAGAGGGGAGUUGAUGCUUAGAUGGGAAAUAGAACAUCCCUGAAUGAUGGAAGUCCUUGUUCUGGAUCAGAAAAGCAUUGAACCAUACUCUUUGGUAGUCUCAAUAAUUGAAAAUUUUAGGUUUUGAAGGCUUAGAAAAUUCUCUUGAAAAAUUAGGAUUCCCACCCCACUGCUUAACUGUAAGGAUUUUAUAAAUAUGGUAAGUGGAGAAUGCCAAAUCCAAAUUGCUGAAUUUAUCAGCAUUGUGCUUGAUUUUAACAGAGCCGGUUUCCAUAAGGAUUGCUUCAUAAAAUUCUCUUGUUUUUAAAAGAUCACCAAAGGGAUAAUGAAAAUUUUCAUGAAAAGCUUUUGCUGCAAUAUCUCUAGGGUUUUUAGAGAAAAACUCUUUUUCAAUAACCAAAAGAGGUUGAUUUAAAUCUUUUUGCCAAUAUCUUGCUUUUGCUGAAAGAGGUGUGGGGUUGGCUACCACCACAAUUUGCUUAUUUGAAAAAGAAGAGCUUGAUGCUAAUUCAUUUUGAGAGGGAUUAGCUUUAGUAACCUGCUUAAAGGUCUGAGACACAGUAAUAGUUGGAUACUGAGUAGCCUUGACUGGUUUAGAAGGAUUCGAAGGAUCAUAGUACAAGGACAAAAUCUUAUUAGGCAUAUGGUCAGAAGAAUGAAGCCUUGCUUCUUCUUCUAGCUCAACUUGUUGGCUCCAAAGUAUUUUAUGGGGAGAAGGUUCUUUGCUGGUUUUAGAAGACUAGGAUUCUGGAAGUUUAGGAGCUUGGGUAUUCUUUUUAGGGGCCAUGGUUUCGUGAAUCCUGUAAAAUUCACAAGUUAAGAAAUCAGGGCUCGAAGAAUGUUCUCCUUUAAUAUACUCAAUUUGUAAAUUAAAAUUGCUUAAAAUAGCUUGAUAUAUAGCAAAAAUAUGCUUAGAAGUUAUAUUCUUAACAUCCUUUUGUAAAACUAAUUUUGCAAAUUUACAAUCAACUCUUAAUAAAAACUUUUGAUUCAAAAGAUCAUCUUGAAAUUUUGAAAUGCAUAAAACAACGCUUAAAGUCUCUUUUUUAAUGAUGUUAUGAAUGAGUUGGGUAGUAUUCCAGGUUCUUGAAGUAUACCUAACUAACAUCUCAAGGUUACCAACACUUUGCUUAAGAAUCCCACCAUAACCUAUGUCUGAGGUAUCGAUCCCAACAAACUCAAAGGUUUCUGGAUUGAUAGAGCCUAAACAUGGUAGGGUCUUGACUUUGGACUUAACAUCAAUAAUGAAAACAAUGGUGAAAACAGAAAACUGGUUAAAGUUUUCAUCCAUUAUAUUCUGGAAUUCUGAGGUGCAUUCUUAAGAUCAAAGGGCAUUAUGAACCAUUCAUAAUGUCCAAGAGAUACCACAAAGGUGGUCUUAUUUGGAAUAGGACACCUAAUCCAACUUAAUGUAUCAUUAAGAGGCAUGUAGUUGACGACUAGUCUAGGUGUUCCUUUUUCUGAUUCAACUUGUUCCUGAACAUAGAAGGUUGAACAACUCCAAAGGGACUUAGACUUCCUUAUCAACUUUUUAUCAAGAAGAUCCCAAAUCUCCUUAUCACAAUAGCUUAACAAACCCUUGUUCAUCUGGAUAGGUCUUGAUUUAGUGGGAAUAUUCUUGUCACUAAAGUCUAGUUCAUAAGGUAAUUCUACCUCAUGUUGUUUCCUAUGCCAAAAUGCAUUAGGAAUGUUAGAGCAAACUUCUUCAACAAUCAGAUUAAUUUCUUGCUCAUGACUUUCCUUAGCUUGAAUCACCUGAUCCCUUAAGGUGUUUAUAUUUUUCUUAUUAGGUGGUUGGCAAAUUCAAAAAUAAUUUCCUUAUCUAAGAGCUUUGUUCUUAUACUUUGGUCAUCUACCCACAUGGGAUAGAUGGAGCUUAAAAAGGGGAUUCCAAGGAGAGCUUUCUCCUUAAGAUCCUUAACUAGAAUGAAGGUUUGCUUGAUGCAAAUGCCUUGGUUAUUUAUGUGAGCAUCUGACAGCUUAUACUCAAUGUCAAGCCUUUUACCAUUAGCUCCAAAGAGAGAUUCUUUGGUUUUCUUACAAAACUUAAUAGGACCUAGACCUUCUUGUAGGCAAUUCAAAGCUGUUCCUGAAUCAAUCAAAGCAACAAUAUCAAUGACAAAUUUACUCUUAAUUACUAUAGUAAGGGAGACUUUCCACCUCUGGAAAAUAACCCUACUAACAGUAUUUAAGUAUCCAUCCGUCUUUUCAUCAUUAGCAUGUGAAGAUUCUAGAACCUCUUCAAGGUUUUCCUAGUUAUCAACAAGAUUUUCUAUAACAAUCCUAUUUAUUUGUUCUUGGAGAUCUGAAAAACCUAAGCUUGUGUAUUGUCUUAAAUCUUUAAUUUCCUUCUUAUACUGUCUUACUUCUUCUUGAAGAUCCUUAAUGGUUACGUCUUUGGUAGACUACUGGUUAAAUCUUCCUAAGAUUUCAUUUAAGUUAUAAGAAUUUACUGUCUUCUUAAUCUCUUGCUUAUCGACAAAUUUCUUAAAAACUUCAUAAAGAUCUUGUUUAGUUUUUUCAUCUUCAACUUUCCUUAAAACAUCUAGGACAAGUUCUUGAUCUUGGCUUAUGACAUUUAUAGUCUUAGGUUGGCAAUCACAAUUAUCCUUAAUGUAUUCUUCUUGGUCACUAGAAGUUUGGCUUGAGAUUUCCUCACCACUACUAUCUAGUUGGUUAAUACCAUUUUCAUUAUCUGAAUCAAUCCUUGAUUCAGACUCUGUGGAAUUUAACAUUACUUUACAAAGCAUAUCUUUUAAGUCUUCUGUGACAUUUAAGUUAUUAAUUUUCUGCUUAACCCUACAAUCUUUCUUAUAGUGGCCUAUCUUACCACACUUAAAACAAACUGGCUUAGAUUGUGAAGGAGCUUCUAGCUUUUUAUGGGCUUCUUUGUUCAUCAUUCUUUGGAUGUGCCUUUGUUUCUUAGUUUCAUUCAUCCUAUAGUUGCCAUGAGUUCCUCUCUUGUUGUGAUAGGACUUUUCCUUACUAGGCUUUGUACUUACUUGUUUCUUACGUUGCUUAGAGGGGGGCUUAGUUUCUUUUUGGUUGAAUCCAAACUAGCUACAAAAUGAACCAAACUCAUUCUUGUAGAUCCUUUGUUCAUUUUUCAUCUGUUGCUUAAGCUUAAAGUCAUUGCACAGUUUAAUUGCUUCUGAUGUGACAAUGCUUAUAAUUUCUCCAUAAGAAAGCUUAUCAUAAGGGAUUUGUCCAUUAAACUGUUCCCUUAUCUUAAUCCUAAUCCUCUCAGAGAAAAGUCUAGGUAGUCCUAAGAUGAAUUUUUCUUUCCAAAAAGACUGGUUAUAGUUUGAUCUUAGUAUGACUUUGGUUAGGAAAACUUCUCUAUACCAUCUAAAGUCAUGAAGCUUGGGACACUUAAGGUUGGUUAAGAGAUCUACAAUCUUAUCCUUAAUCUUUGCAGGAUCUCCAAUGAAGUGCUUUGAAAUUGAAUAGAUUAGAGUAGCCACUACAUCCUCUAUAUCUUGUCCAUCUUCAUCCUUAACCACUUCAUUUUCCUCAUUAAUCCUAUAGGCUUUUAGGAUACCAUUUCUAUCCUCAAAGGUGAGAUAAUUAUCCCACCAACCCUAAAGUUGACCUGUAAACCCAACAACAAUUGUUUGAGCUACAGCAUGGCCUGACAAUCUAUUGUUUAACUUAUAGGUUGUACUAACCAUGGUCAUUUCUUGAAGCUUAGUGAGUAUGUUGUACUCAAUCAUACCAUCUAUGUUCCAUUCAUAGAUAGUGUCACUAGUGUAGGAAGCUUGAGUAUGCUGGUUUCUUUCCUCAUACUACAUAUCAGGAAAAGUUGGUCUAGGGUAGUAAUUCCUAGUUCUUGGUUGUUGAUAAUCCUCAUAACUGUUUGGUUAGGAGGUUCCUUAAAAAUCUUAAUUAGUUCAUCAGCCUCUGCUUCAGAACUAAUUUCUCCUUUAACCAUAUUGAUUCUCUUGUGAGAUGGUUGAGGUGUCUCAGAGACAACAAGGCUAUCCUUAACCUUUUGGCUUAUCCUAUCAAUGAGGGCUUGAUCAAUAUGGAGAUUCUCUAGGAAUUUCUUAGAGAAUUCAAAAGGCUUAAAUAAAGACUUAUUAUCUUUCUUAACAAACGUAGUCUUAAUGUAGUCUUGUGUUUCAAUGAUAUCCUCAAACUUGUUGAGUUGAUCGCCUGUAGUCUUAAGAAACAUGUUAGUGUAGUUGUUUUGUUCCAUGAUUCUUCUAACGUCAACAACACUAUCAAUUCCUUUAUUCUUUGGCCUAGUCUUAAAAGGUGAAGCUUUGACUAUGGUUCAAUUAAUGUUCUUUUAUAUCUUAGCUUCUAGAGGGUGGAUGGAUUCUAUGAUAGUAUCGUCACUAGUUUUCCAUAUCUUAGUUUUUUUGGAUGUGUCAUUGACACGCUUACUAGGGUAAUCUAGAUAUUCCUCUUGUUUGAAGAGUUCAAACCAGAUCCAAUACUUAAUGUUCUUCUUUUCUUGUCUUAAGUAUGUGUAGAAUUCUUCUUGGUAGAGGGUUCUAAUGUCUUUAAGGACCUUGCUAAAGAACCAAACUCUCCUUUUCUUAUUGACUUCAGAAUAGAAGUCUUUCCUUAAGAGGUCCUUGUUGAUUCAAAGUCUUCGUUAAUUAGGCUUACAGUGUUAAUCAACUGAGAAUAAGUAGGAGACAUAUCAGGAGAUUCGUCCUGAUGUGAUUCUUGAGUAAACUCAUUUUCCUCCAUGUAAAAGGGUUUGGCCACGUUGGUGUGACUUCUAACACCUGUUAGCUUAAUAUUCUUAGGAUUUGCUGAACUAGAUCCUUCCUCUAUCCUAGUGGUUCUUAUUGGGAUAGAUGAACUUGAAGCUCUAGAGGGCUCAUAAUAUGAAAUUCUAAGGCUGCUAGAAUGAUGAAAAGAGUUGGAGAAAAUUAGAUCUCGUUCUCCAUCAGGAUAUUGAACAAUCUGUUCAAUUCUUUCAGAUCUUUGCUCUAUGGCUGGGACAACAUUAGCAAAAUGCCAAUUUUCUGGAAACUCAACCUCAUUCCACUUGAUUUUCAUGGGGACUAUGAAAUUAGACUUGUUUAUCAUAUCUAAGUGGAAGAUAGUGGUUUCACCCUUGGGACUGGUGCACAAUGCUCCAAAUCCAACGCUUAUGGUCAUGCUCUUAUAGGCAAAUCUGGUGAUGAUGGAAACAUGAUUGUUUCCUUGCUUGAACUUAAAGUCAUGGGUCUUAACAUGAAGGACAACUGAAUCUAAGAUGUUGACAUCUCUUAGUCUAACUGUGAAGUUAGGGAAACACUGGAAAUAAACAGGACCAUCAUUUAAUCCUGCUUGGGUAGCUCCAAUAAUAGAAUCUCGGUAAUCAAGAUGUCUAUUAUCUCUUAAACACAUGACAAUAAAGGUGUUUAGACCUAGUCUUGUCAAGGGCUUAGCUGCAACUUGAAUCAUGCCAAAGUGUAUGAAGUUGUAGUCUCGCUUAUGCUUAUCAAUGGACUUACUAUCCAAGAGUCUUAUGACUUGAUCGUCGUGUUCUAAACUUACUGACAUUUCAGGGGUUUUAAUGGUGUAAUCUGUAAAGAACUUAAAGGUUCCUUUCUUAUAAAUUUCUUGAUUAGGUACCUUGGGUAACUUCCAAUCAUCUAAAUCAUCUUGGAUCUUAGGAUAAUUGAUCUCUUCAUUGUUUACUCUUGAGAAUUUGUGGAUUUCCUAGACAUGGUUCUGAAAAUCAAACUCAUUUUAAGGUUUUAAUCUAGAGCCUAAUAGCAGAUUAACAGACCUAGUGAGUAAUCACCCCAACCCUUUUCCAACCUUAACAAACGCCUAUCUCCAGCUAACAAUGGGCUCAACUCGGCAAGGAUCGCACUCAGGCACACUACUAUCUUUCCUAGGAUAGAUCAAAACACCCAAAACAAACCCGACUUCCUUUUCCUAGGAUAUAUAUAGUAUUUUGGGUUUGAGUAGGAGUUCAUGUUUUGUAUGUAAUUGUAGUCUACGUUGGACUAGGUUGUUUGCUCCUAAUUGAAAUAGGAAUGGUUGGUGUCACAUCUCAUUCAUUUUCUCAUCUAUUUCCAUGUUUAGAUAACUCAAGUAAUCAUAGGAAUGAAAUUAAGAAUGAUUUGAGGGAAAUGAAAUCUCACUUGUAAGUGGGAUCUCAAUUCAUCAUUAAUAGAAGGUAUUUUGAUUACAUAGUGCAAGUUAUUUUUAAAAACACUUUUCAAAAAUUGAAAAACCAAAAACUCUCUUGGAUAAGUUGUUUUUAAAAAGAAUUUUUGUAUUUUUAUUUUGUAAAAAAAAAAAAUAGUAAUUCAAUUUAUAUAAUAUAAAUAGACUUUAAUUUUAUUAAAAAUAAAAAUAAUUUUUUAAUUACAAAUAAAUUAAAAAAUAAAUAUUUGUAAUAAAAUAUGAAUAGUAAUAUUAUAAUAAAAUCAUAAAUAAAUUAAAAAUAUUUUUAAAAACAAAUAAGUUUAAUUUUUUUGAGGUACAAAUGAGCCAAAUUUUUCAUUAGGUACACAACCAACAAUUUUUAUUGGAAACAUUCCUCAAAAAAGAAUUCGUUUCCCAUAUAGCAAAGAUAUUUAUUAUUUAGUAUCUAACCAUCCGUAGUAAUCAUAUCAAUUCUACUAAGUUAUUUAAUAAUUCAUUUAUAUAUAGUACUCAAUUAUGAAUUUUUUUAUUUGAUGUAUAAUUAAUUAAUCAAUGUUUUGAAUUUUGAAUUAUUCUUAAAAUUUAAAACAUUAAUUAUGUCUAUUACUUUUUAUAGUCAUUAUAUAUAUAUAUAUAUAUAUAUAUAGAGAGAGAGAGAGAGAGAGAGAGAGAGAGCUUAAAUUUAUCUUUAAAAAUUAUUAAAUUUAUUAAUAAAUUCAAUACAAAGACUCAUUUGAUUUGAAAUUCAUUUCUUUAGUGAAAAUUUUGAAACUAAAUAGUACUUUGUUUUACUUUGUUUUUAAAUCAUACUCACAAAUAAGUUUUUAUCAUUUAGCCAAAAAAUCUCAAAGAUGUUUCUAAUUUUAUUUAUUUAUUUAUUUGUAAAUGAAAAUAAAAAAUUAGUUUAAACUAAAUAUGCGGAUAUUAUUGUUAAUUUAUUUCAUUUUUUAUUUCCAUUGUUAUUUAACAUUGAAACGGAAACAAAUAAUCAUUCCAAUCUUACAUUCUUAUAUGCAUCUAAACACAAGAAUUGAAAUCACCAAAUUCAUAUUCAAGGCAAAAUAGAAAUGGAAAAAAAAUAUUCAUUUUCAUUCCUCAUUCUCAUGUGCUAAACAUGACAUUAGUUCUACUACCUAUUUCACCAUUCUUCUUGAUAAAUUUGGUAUAUGCAAUAUUGAUCUAAGUGUGAGGUGAAUAAGAAUGAUGAUGGGAUGGGCUUGGAAAUAAGGGCAAAGUUUCUAGGUGCUAUCUAGAGGGGCAACGCGACUUUUUCAAAUUUCGAAUAUUUGUUCUCAACAUAAAGCAAAACUUUACUCACACAAUAGAUAAGACUCUGUUUGUUUUCUUCAUCCACGACUAUAUAAUGUAUAGCUCUUACUCAAGGGAUGAGCUACUUACUAUUAAGGAUUGGGUAAGAUAUUGCCUAAUGGCCAAGAAGGCAUGUCAAAAAAUAAAUCUAAUCACCAUAAAAAAUAAUAGGGGAAAAUUAAUAUAUUAUGAAUGAUGACUUUACUAUUUCUCUAUAUACAUAAUUAUAUAUUUUGAAUUUUCUCACUAGGUAAUGAGAUUCUAAAUCAACUGAAACAUAAUUAAUAAUUUAUAUUUUUAAUGAAUCUUUUAAUUUUUAAAAAUAAUUUAAAAUUUUAAAAAACAAUUCAAUUAAUUACAUAUUAAAUCAAAACAUUUCAAAAUAUUGUGUUUGUAGAUGAGUACUAAAUGCUUGCAUAUAAUAAUAAUAAUAAAAAAAUUGACUCAUUUAGAUGUUAAAAAAGUUAAAUGUUUUUCAUUAUUCAUUUUAAGUAAAAUAUUAUUGACAUUAUUAUUAUAAAAUUAUUAUUAUUCAUUUUUAACAAAAAACAAAAUAAGUUAUUCUUUUACCAAGAUGUCAAUAUCUAUAUUUUUCUAACAUAUAUUAAAAUAGUAUACUUUUCUUUUAUUAAAAAUAAUAAUUAUUAUUAUAUUAUUAUUCAAGUUUUAUUAAAAAAAUUUAUCUUUUAAUUCAUUUGUAAUUACAAAAUAAUUUUAUUUUAUUAAGAAUUUAAUUUAAUUACGCUUUUUUUUUUUAUAAAAAAAACAGUUAUGCUUUUACCAAGAUGUUAAUAUUCAUAUUUUUCUAGCUAACAUAAAUAGAAUAGUACACUUUUUCAUAUAAAAAAAUAAUUUAUGAUUUUAUUAUAAUGUUACUAUUCACAUUUUACUAAAAAUAUUUAUUUAUUUUAUUUAUUUUUAAUUAUAAAAUAAUUUUAUUUUCAAGAAUUUAAUUUUAAAAAAAUAGAAAUCAUUUAUUCUUUUACCAAGAUGUUAAUAAACAUAUUUUUCUAACAUAUACUAAAAUAAAAAAGUUUACUUGUUCAUUAAAAAAUAUAAUUUAUGUUUUUAUUAUAAUACUACUAUCUAUGUUCUACUAAAAAUAUUUAUUUAUAAUUAAAAAAUAAUUUCAUUUUUAAUAAGACUUGAACUAAAUUAAAUUUAUAAUUUUUUUUUAAAAUAAAAUAGAAAAUUAUUUUUUAAAAACAACUUAUUGAAAGAAAUUUUUUAUUCUUUACUUUUAAGAACUGUUUUUAAAAGCAACCUAUAAACCCCUUUGGGUCUGUUUGGCUAUGUUUCAUGCAACUUGUUUUUAAAAAUUGUUUUUUAUUCUUUAAUUUAAUUUUUUUUAAGUUAAAGAAUAAAAAACAACUUUCUAGUGUUUUAUAAAAAUGAGAGCUUUUGACAAGUUGUUUUUAAAAACCAUUUUUAAAAAUAAAAAAUAAAAAACUUAUUUAGAUAAAUUGUUAUAUAUAUAUAUAUAUAUAUAUUUGUAAAAACAUUUUAAAUUCAAUUUAUAUAAUAUAAAUUUAAUUUAAUUUAAGUCUUAUUAAAAAAAAAUUGUUUGGAUAAGUUUUUUUUUUUAAAUAGUUUAUUAUUUUUGUUUUGUAAAAACAUUGCAAAUUCAAUUUAUAUAAUAUAAAUUAAUUUAAUUCAAGUCUUAUUAAAACCAAAAUAAUUUUAUAAUUACAAAUAAAUUUAAAAAUAAUUUUUUUAGUAAAACAUGAAUAAUAAAAUUAUAAAUUAUAUUAUUGUGGACCCUGCAUUUAUGCUCAUGCGCUUCCACUUGUUGGCGAACUCAUUUUUUAUUUGAAAAUGAUUUAUUUUUUUAGAAAAUGACUUAGAGUCGCCACUUAUUUUUGUUUUAUUUUUAAAGGGCAAGCAAAAUAAGAAAGAAAACCCUAAGUGUGACUCCUUAUUCGAAAAAGGUAGUCUGUGUAAAACCGGAUCAGGGUUCAGGGAUCAGGUUACUUAUUGGGAAGGUAUGACAAUGACCGUAGCACUCCUCUAAGUCCUUAAAAACGGGCCUCUACUAAAAAAAAUAAAGUAAUCAUGGCAAUCAGUAAGGAAAUCACUGGAUACCCAGAACAAUUAUGCACAUGUGAGAAUUAAAACAUGCAUAAGAAUGGACAAAGUGAGAGUGGGUGCGUACCUUGACAACGAACCACAAUGCGUUAUCAAGAAAUGGGGUUAGUGCACGAUCAAUGAACAUAAAACACGUCACACAUGUCACUAAGCAGAGUGAGAAAUCAUCAGAUAUUACAAUUCAAUCAAAUUUAUUUUUAGAAGAAACAUCUGUUGAUGUAGAGCCCCUACCAAAGCCUAAUUUAUUUUUGCAUGAAUCAAUUUCAUAAAUUCAAUCGCUUGGAAUUACAGAAUUAAAUUCAUGCUUAUUUUAAAACAUCUUUUUAAAAUCAUGGAAGAUGUGAAAAUGGUUUUCCAAAGAGAAAAUGACAACUGAUUUUAUUGAAAAUGGGAUUUUGGGGACCUAAACGUUAAAGAGGGAUUAGGAAUUGAAAAUUAAAUCAUUUGAAAAUUGAAUUUUUCAAAAAUCAGUUUUGAAAGCAUGCAUGCAAGUAUGGACUGUGAAAGUGGGCCUAGGGAGGGUGGCCAUGCAAAAUGAGGUCAUACACGUGGGCCUUGGGUACAAUUGGGACUACUUUGCUGGUGCCAGUGGUGCUUGCAGCUGUCAUCCAUGAUUUCUUCAUUGGGAUCAAUUUCCAUUCUUACUGCCAAACAUUCCAUAACAAUUGACCAAACUAGUAACCCUGACCUUGCAUGAAAAUGAACGUUACCUAGAAACUCACUGCCAGUGAGAUUCAUUGCUCUUUCAAAAGGUCUCAUUUUCUUUCUCAUCCAAUUGCUUUAAGGAGCAUUCUAGCGUCACGAUUGGUGACUGCGCAUCAUCUAGAGCCUUCUUUCUUCUCAGAAUCAGGUUUGCGUGCAGAGGCCUGUGCUUGUUCAAGGUUGACCUAAAUUCAUCUAGGUUUAGAACCGACCAGUUGAGCUUGGGGAGCAACGACAAGAAUAUCAGUCACUUGCGAAGAGAAAACUCGAGAUCUUUCAAGUAAUGCCUGACAUAGAUUCCUCCAACCUGUGGCCAAUAUCUCAUUCCUUGUUGGCCAGACGCCUAUUAGGGCGUAUCUCAAUCAAUAAUAUGAUUUUUCGUUUGUUCACAAUAAAGACCGGAAGCCAUGGUUGUGAUUUAUGCAGUACAGAAGAAGUUGCCAUGGCUGGUAUCCUUACAAAUUCUGGUGUUUCUGCUAUCUGUUCAAGUGCAAAACACAACAGCUUUAUCAAGUUUGUCCCUAACAACUGAUAUUGAGCCCUCUGGAGGAAACCUUGAUAAAUUCAUAAUCACUUUUGACUCAUGCAUGGGCUGCCCAUCAAAUUUUCCUAGCAACGAGACGACUGCUGUCAUCUACUGCAAAGAGAAUUUCUUCUCGCAAAGACAAGAGGAGUUUAAGAAUACACACUAUUCUGCCAUUUCAUUUCCUCUUUCUCCACAACCAACAUAAACCAUAGUGUCUACAUUAGAGUACUUAGAAAGAGCUUAACUGAUGACCGUUUUUCCACAACCAAAUGCCCCAGGUAUGGCACAAAUUUCACCGAAAACAGAAGGGAAAAGGGCAUCAAGAACACGCUGUCCUGUAAGUAGUGGGGUAUCAGGACUACUCUAGGGAAGUUAUUUCUGUCAUUUUGAAAAAGAAAAAUUAAAGAAUGUACACAUGCUUUCAAGUGGACUGGAGCAUUCUACAUAUCAGGUGGUCUGUAGCCACAUGUGCCACUUUGUGGAAGUUGGAACAGUCGAUCACUAGGCUAUUUAGUGUGGCCAAGCCACGUUAAUCAAGGACAAGUCUUCAUACUUAAAAGUCAAAUGGUGCCUUUAGUCUCAUUACACAUGGCUAUUUAAAGAUGAACUAAUCUUUAGUGUAAUGUGAUUAAGACAGUACUAACUGAUCAAUAUUUUUUCUAAUUUUGGAUGCAAAUGCUUGCUGGCUUCAUCAUUGGAUGGGAUAAAGGUGCAUUCAUGACUCUGAAUACUUGCAGUAAUACUUGCAGUAAUACUUCAUUCUCUUUUUUCUCGAUGAGACUUCUUGGCACAAUUUUGCUUCUCAGCAACCUACCUCUCCAUGGAAAAUGAGUUGCGAUUGAUGGUACUGGAUAUUUUCUAGGAAGCUAAAUAUAGAUAUAUAGCACUCAAUGUCAACGAUAUAUAUAGCAUUAACAGUAUAUGUCUCAAUGCUCAUCAGCUACAAGCAAGGGACAAACACUUACAAUGAAUAACUCACGUCAACAUUCCUAAACAGGACAUAGAAGUGACAGAUCUAUAUAUAGAACACUGCAUAUGAGUCACAAGAAAAGAUAAUACGGGUGCAUAGCAGCUCUUAUAUUACAUAUUACUCAUACCGUUCAAAUUCACUCAGUUGGGAUGGGUGGGAGAAGGAGGCCUCUGGGGUGGCUUGUGCGUGUGAGAAGUGGAAGAAAGUUGAAUGGAAUGAAACUGAAAAACAGGGUAGAAUAGAGGUUUCUUGAAUCUUCUGAAAUCUUUAUUUUUCUGAGAUUUAUUCUCUGUUUUUGUGAGUCGUGACUCUACAUAUAUACAUGUAUUUAAAGUUAGUUAUGCCUUAUAACUAAUUAUCUAACAGUACCAAAACUAAUCAUCUAGUUGCAUGUUUCUAAUUAAUGCUAUUUAGUUACAACUAUAUAUGGCUUAACAUCCUCUCUCAAACUCAAAAGUCUAGCUAGAACAGUGAGUUUGCUUCAUAGAUUGAGAAAUUGUUGAAUAGGUAAGGCUUUGGUAAGAGCAUUAGCAAUCUGGUCAUAAGAAGGAAUGUGUUGAACCACCAAAGUCUUAUUGAGCACCUUUUCCUGAACAAAAUGGCAAUCUAGUUCCACAUGCUUAACUCGAGAAUGAAAAUAGGAUUGGCAGCAAGAAAGGUGGCUGAAAGAUUGUCAUAGAACAAAACAAAAUAGGAGAAUAAGAAGAUGAGAUAGAAAACUCCUGAAGAAGAUGUUGAAUCCAUUGAAGUUCAAAAGCAACAUUUGCUAAGGCCCUAUACUCAGCUUCAUUGCUGGAACGAGACACAACUUUCUGCUUACUGGAGUUCCAGGAGACUAGAUUAGAGCUAAAAAAGAUGCAAUGACCACUUGUACUUCGACGAUCAUCAGGGCAACCAACCCAAUCAACAUCAGCAUAAGCAGUAAGUUGAAAAUCAGGAGAAGAAUAAAAGGAAAGACCAAAGGAAGUAGUGCCCUUAAGAUAAUGCAACAAUCGUUUAACAACUUGCCAAUGAAGAUCAGUUGGUUAUUGCAUGAAUUGGCAAAGUUUAUUGAUAGAGAAAGAGAUGUCAGGCCUUGUAAUGGUACAAUAUUGCAGGGCUUCAACAAUGUUGCGAUAUUGAGAAGGGUCAGCCAAGAGGGAACCUUUAGAGGCAGAUAAAGUGUGAGAGGUAGUCAUUGGUGUAUCAAUAGGUUUAAAAUAUGGAAGACCAGCACGAGUUAACAAGUCCUGAAUAUAUUUGGUUUGGGAAAGAUGAAGAGAAGAUCCUUGCCAACAUACUUCUACACCCAAGAAGUAAUUCAGAAUACCAAGGUCCUUGAGAGCAAACUGAAAGUGUAAAGACGAAACCAUUUGGUGGACUAGCACGGUAUUAAGACCACUAACAAUAAUGUCAUCAACAUAGAUGAGAAUAAUGAUCAUGUCAGUCCCUUUCCGAAGAGGAGCUUGCUUCAGACCCUACAAGGCUUUGCGAAGUUUACAGAAAAAACCGGGUUUAGAAUGAUCAACAAAGCCUGGAGGUUGAACCAUGUAAACCUCUUCUUCUAACUCACCAUUGAGAAAGGCAUUAUUAACAUCUAAUUGUUCCACUAACCAACCAUGAGAAAUAGCAAGAGAAAGAACAAUUCAUAUAGUAGUUGGUUUAACAACAAGGCAAAAGGUUUCAAAAUAAUCAAUACCAUAUGUUUGAUUAAAACCCUUUGCAACUAAGUAGGCUUUAAAACGAUCAAUUGAGCCAUUAGCUUUGAGUUUCAGCUUGUAUAUCCAUUUACAACUAAUAAUGCGUGUAUUAACAGGUUUAGGAACCAAUGUCCAUGUGGAAUUGGUGAGAAGAGCAUCAUACUCAGUCUUCAUAGCAGCUUGCCAAUUAGGAUGCAAUAUUGCUUCUUUGAAAGAGGAGGGUUCGACAACAGUAGUUUGGAUAGCAAGGCUAAAUAUUUUUUUGGGUUUAAAAAUACCAUUUUGGCUACGAGUAACAAUAGUUCGGUUUGGAAGUGAAAGAGGAUCAGUGGAGGAGGCUGGAACAAGGGAUUGUGGUAAAGUAGGAAAGGAAGGUGGAUGAGAUGGAACAAAAUCAGUAGGGACAAUAAUGGGAGAAGAAAAAUUAGGUGGAGAAUGAUGAGGAUUCCUUGAAGAUGGUGUAGGAAUAGAGAGAAUACCAGAAUCAAGAAGUGUUAAAGAAGAGUUGGAUGAUGAUACUGGUUGACAGGAUAAAGACUUUGUUAAAAAUGGAAAUCGAGUUUCAUCAAAUACAACAUGACGAGAAGCAUAUAUCCGAGAGGAAGCCAUAUCCAAACAGAGGAAUCCCUUGUGUUUAGCACUAUAACCCAAAAAACAGCAAACAACAAAUAUAUUUGCUAGCUUGUGAGAAGCAUAAGGGCGAAGAUAAGGAAAACACAAGCAUCCAAAACUUCAAAGAGAUGUAUAAUAAGGUAAACGAUUAUAAAGAACUCCAUAAGGAGAAUUUUGUGAAAGAACAGCAGAGGGAAGGCAAUUUAUGAGAAAAAUGGCAGUUUGAAAUGCAAAUGACCAAUAUUUGAGAGGGUAUACCAGCUUGUAUUAACAAAGAAAGACCAACUUCCACAACAUGACGAUUCUUUCUUUCAACUCUUCAAUUUUGCUAAGGAGUAUAAUGACAAGAGACUUGAUGAAGAAGACCAUUUGUAGCCAAAUAAUUCUGAAAAGCUGAAACUGAAACUCAUCAAAUUGAUUUUUAGUAUCAAAUUUUCUUCAGACUGAACACAUUGAUUUUUAGUAUCAAAUUUUCUUUCAACCAUGGCUUGAAAAUGUUGGAACAUAAGUAAAGCUUCAUCUUUAGUUUCCAAAAGGUACAACCAUGAGAAUAUGCUAAAAUCAUCAAUUAGCAAGAGGAAAUAUUGAGCAUUACCAUUGACAGAAACUAUAGGAGUUGCACCCCAAAGAUCAACAUGGAUGAGACCGAAUGGUUUUAUUGCUCUAGAAGUGGAUAUUUCAAAUGGAAAACGAUGGCUUUUAGCCAACUGACAAGACUCACAUACAGAGUUAUUAUUGUCAUGUUUCAAAGGUAUUUUAUAAAGAGAUAAGAUUUUGGAAACUACAUUAAUAGAGGGAUGACCAAGUCUAUUAUGCCAAAGCCUCAAAGAACCAACGGCUAAAGUACUACUAGUAGAGUAAAAUACUAGUGGAUGACCAACAACUCUUGGUGUAGCAAGAAGUUUAUAGAGACCCUUCUCAAUUUUUCCUUGAAGAAGAGCAAGUCUCGUUUCCUGAUCCUUUACCACAAAAUGAGAAGAACGAAAUUCAAUAAAGGUGCCAUUGUUUGAGUAAAAUCGUUGCACGCUAACUAAGUUGGUGGUAAUAGAAGGAACAUGUAAGACAUCAUUGAAAAACAAAGAACCACUUGAAGAGGCAAGAGAAAAUUUACCAAUAUUUGCAAUGGAUAAACCCUUACCAUCUCCAACAAUUACUUUGUCACCACUGGUAAAUGGAUUAUGGAUUGUUAAAUUGUUAAGAUCAGAUGUGAGAUGAUGGGUAGCCUUUGUAUCAAGAAACCAAUAAGUGUCUCCCAUUGUUGCAGAAGUUGUAGUCAUAGCCUCAGGAUUGUUAGAGGUGGAAUGUUUAGAAUCUUUUGGCUGAUAAUCAGAGUUAAACCGAUACCAGCAUUGUAAAGCGGUGUGUCCGAACUUACAACCGAGAGAAAUAAUCUUUACUUAUUCUCUAAAAACUGUUCUUUAUUCCACACAUUAUUUCUAAAAACUGUUUCUAGAUAACAAUGACAAAAUAGUAUUAGGAAUUUUUAAAAAUAAAAAUUGUUUUUAAAUUACAUGAUCUAUAUCAUUCACAUUUGACCAUUAUAGCUUUGUUCAGGAAAACACUUGAAAGUAACCUUAUCGUGAUAAGAGAUAUAAGUUGGCUGUAGUUUCAAACUGAAAACAGAGGAUGGCAAUAGAAAGCAAAGCAUUAGUUAUCUGCAAUCAGUGGUGAUCAUGCCCCAUGUCAAUUUCGGACCCAUAUCUUAAAACCGUAUAAUUUGCAUUUCAACAUUUCUGAUUUCUCAGAUGUUUCAUACUCCACAGAAGAACAUUGUUUGUGAAAGCAUGCAUUUAUGCUGGAUUUUGGAUGAUGUGGGAACUGGGGCAAGGAUCAUAUGGAAGAGUGGUCGAUUUUUUCUGUACUUUAACAUUUGAAAUAGGAGCAGCACGGGCAUUUGUGGGGCUUAAUUGAUUUUGAAGCCUGAAAUUGCGUUUCUGUCAUUUUGUAAAAAAUAUGGCAGAUUCCAUGCUCUCAUAUGUUUGGUCUGUGGCCAUGUAUAGAUGCCACUUAGUGACCAGUUUGUAACUGUCAAUCAUAGUGUUUUGACUCUGGCUCAACAACAUCAGCCAUUGACGGAUUUUCAUACAUGCAAAUCAAAUAGUCUUCUUCCUCCCUUAGGAAUUUCGGUUUAAAUGUUAUUAAGCAUACAUUUGGCUGACAAUUAUUAACCACUUCAUGAUAUGGUUUCUUACCCUUAAUCAAUGGUUUCUAAGUGAAUAUAUGCAGAAGGAAAUCUGAACUGUAGACAGCAGUAUUGAUAAUUAUCAAUAUUCUUUAUAUAAGAGAAUAAACAACGUCAUAGUGAUCGUCGCCUACAAGAAAGGUACAUUUCCCAACAAGAUGUAGUUGUGACUGGUACAUGGACGUAAUUAACUCGUAGAAAAGGAUAAGACCAGUGCACGGCAGCUCUUAUUUUACAUGCUAAUUAUGCUAACCAAAGUCACUCAGUUGGGAUGGGAGGGAGAUGGAGGUUUGUGCGGUGGCUUGUGGGGCGGAGUUGGUGGCUUCUUUUCAGGAGCUUGUGGCUUUUUCGGAGCUGAAGGAGGCUCAAUCUUAUGAGGCGGCUUGUACGAGUCUUCUUUACUCUCGACAGGAGGGUGGCCAGGGUUGUGACCAUAAUGUGGUGGCUUCUCUCCCUUAGGUGGCUUGCCAACUGGGGUUGGUGGCUUGUGUUCAGGAAGUGGUUUCUCUCCCUUGGGAGGUUUACCAAUUGGGGUUGGUGGCUUGUGUUCUGGGAGUGGUUUCUCUCCCUUGGGAGGUUUAGUGGGUGACUUGUGUUCUGGAGGUGGCUUCUCCACCGGAGGCUUGUGCUCCGGUGGUGGCUUCUUGGUUGGAGGGGGCUUGGGGUAAUCAGCAAGAGAUGGGGGGGUGAGAACCACCACUCCAAGGAACAACACUAGCAAGUAUGUGGGAGACAUUUCUGAGUUUGAGCUGAUCAGAUGAUGCAAAACUAGAAGAAUUACGUGACCUUUUAUAGCAAGUAGCUCCCAAUACCCACAUGACACGUGUUACUGUGACCAUAAAUAUUAUAGGGUCCAUUUGUGCCCUACCGGGUUGAAAACUUGGACGCUUGGCCGAGGACACACCGAACUAUGGAGGACUAUUGACGUGUGAUCACAGCUUUUGGAUUUUUCUUCCUGUGCAGCUGUCUAGCGGUUGGCAUUAUUUUUUUAAUCUUAAAUAAAGGCAUAGUUAUAGAGUACAUUUAUAUAUCUUCAGAUAGCCAUUAAUAUAUUUGAUGAAGAAAGACAAGUGCAUACAACAUGUAUACGGCUUGCUUCAAUCGAGUACAUUUAUGAUCAGUUUUCCAGUGCAAGUAAACCAGUUUUUUGUUCCACAACUAUUUUGGAAUCUUGUUUAUCAGUUUCUAUCAUUAUAAUGUCACAUAGGCUGCAAACUUGGGCACCCAAAGAUCUAGUUGGGCAAAUUUGUUUCAGAAUUUCAAUGGUGGAUUCAGUAAUUGUUAAAAGGUGUUUCUUCAUUAAGGAAAGAGUCCUGUAAAAAUAUUGUUAAAAGGUGUCAUAGAAACUAUAAUAAUUAAAUAACUUCUUUUCCCCGUGGGUGGUGUUUCUUCUGGGGAUACCCAAAAUGAGUUCAGAUUAAAAUUGGUUCGAGUCAAAGCUGUCUCUUUUGUCCAGAAAUCAACUAUUUUGCGCAUUGCAUGAAUCGAUAAAGAAAAAAUGAAAGCCAAAUCACACCUCCCCUGCAAAACCUAAACCCCGGUUGCUAACUUUCUAUGUUUCAGUCCUAUUCAUACAGGAAUAUUGGUUCAAGUUUGAGAAAAAUGGCAACUUACCUAGGGAUUACUUGGUUGUGGUUUGCGACGACUAUUUACGCAACCAACCAUGAGUUUGACUUUAACGUCAUGGGUUGAAGCCUCCUACAAUCGUGUAUGAUAGUUCAAAGCUCGUAGUAGAAAUUAUACAGGAAGGAAGAAACCUCCAAAGCUAGCUCCAAAAGAGAAUUAUCACAUCGAUAGCUCCAGAGAUUCCCAAGGGGACUGAAUCAAAGACAAGUUCCUCACUUUUUCUUCUUUUGAGGCCAAAUAUGAACCAAGGAUCACACGACCUCAUUCAACUUCAUAAGUUUGAUUUCAUGCAGUUGAACACUGGGUGAAGGCCAUGACAAGAAUUGAUUAAAAAAUUCUACCACUGUUUUAAGUAAUGGAAGAUUAUUAUCUCUGAUUGGCACCACAACAGCACAUGCUGCUAGAUCUUUCUAGACACUCCAUGCAAUGAAAGUACAAUGGAUCUUGUAACGAUAGAAACUAAGCCAUGCUACAGUACUAGAUGACGAGGUAAAACUAUUAGACAUGGGUGGCAGCCUAUAUGGGAGGGACACAAGUCUAAUUGAUUUGCAUUUCAGCGUUCUAGAUGGGUAUGUUUUGGAAGAUUUGUUCUGGAAAUACCGCACCAAGUAGGAUUCUUUUUUCUCUUGAGUGGGUCCACUUGCAUGCCAAUUAUCGAGUUGAAAAGUAGAGCACCUACCUCGUGCUCGUGGAACCGAAGGUCAGUGAAGUGGGGCUCCUUUUGGCCUCUUGUGUUUCUGUUCCAACCAAGGCGGCGGAGGGAAAAACAGCAAUAUGUCUCCGCUAAAUAUCAACGCAUGAUAGCGAAUGAGGGAGAAAAAAAGUAAUUGGCAUCUCAAUCUCACAAACUUGGUACAGUAGUGACAUUAAUAGUCUUCCACAUGGUUUUUAUUUUAUUUUAUUUUAUAUUUUAUAUUUUCCAUUUUUUUAUUUUUUUGUAUGUCAAGGCUAAUGAAUAAAAUGCGUUAGCUUGUUUUGUGAUUGGAACUGCAAAUGUCCAAAUUGGAGUUUCUCCAUUUCUCAGUUCGGAUGGUUAACUUUAUAAACAAGAUAUAGGAAACAUGUGAACGUCUUGAGGAACAAUUCGAAUUAUUGAUUAGAACUCCUAGGUUGAGUUCCAAGAUUUAAAUCAGACCCCUCUAGCAGCUUCAGGGGUACCUAGCAAUUAGAACAUAUUAAUGAAGAUUUAGGAUUUAGACUCCGGAAUACAAAUUAAUAUGUAUCUUAUGCUCUGACUAGCUUCCCUGCAUAUGCACAAAAUGGAGAUGACCCAAAAAAUAGCAGAAUCGCCUUAGUUUAUGUGGUUAAGGUGAUUCUCCGGUUAAUAUCCACAUUGGCUCAUUAUGCAAAUCAACUGAGCUAUUUUUUUUUUAAUGUCAAAUAGGAACUCCUAAUUAACCUAACCAUUGGCCUGUGUAAAUUGAUUUCACAUGCACAAUGUUGUAGUAGAAGUCCACAUUUUGAAUUUUAUUUUUGGAAAGGUAAGGAAAAUGAAGCAUUGUGUAAUUAUAAAAAUAACUUCAUUGGAAUUCACAAGGUUCACCCAAAAUGGAGCUACAUCCGUAUUCUAUCUUACAGUAGACUAUAUAGAUUGUACAAUAGUAAAUUGCAAAUACAAUUAAUAAGUCUUGUGUUUCCUUACUAAUAAUCCUUUGACAUAAACAUUGCAGCACUAAGGUCCUCUUGGGCAGACACCUUGCACCCAUGAGAGCACUAAGAGGAAGCAAGGCGGAGUCAUGGGUGCAAUGUCAUGACUUGUUGCACUAAGAGAGGCUUGGUGAUGGCAUAGUGCUGCAGUAGCAAGAAUGUUGCCUUGGCAGGGACACGAUCUAGGGACAGAUGCCAAGAAAGGCUUAGCACUCACAUGAGUUGCACAAAGAUGAAUGAAAUAGAACAUCAAAGAGACAUCUUGGCAAGCUCAAGAAAGACAUGUGGGUUGGUAAAUGAAUGGAUGCAAGAGGCAACAACAUGAGGAGUUUCAAAUGGAUAGGGAAUGAGUCAAAGACAUUUGAAAGCUACAAGUUGGAUUCUAAUUACGAUUGCAAUUUGAGUUUGAGUAGGAGUUUAUAUUAUGAUUGUAAUUGUAGUAUGAGUUGGACUAGGAUUGCUUAUCCCUAGUCAAAAUAGGAGUUGUUCAUGCCACACCCUAUGAAAAGAGUUUGAGUAGGGACUAGGAUUGCUUGCUCCUAGUCAAAUAUGGAGUAGGUGGUGCCACACCUAUAAAAAAAAAAGGGACAACAUGAGAGAGAGAGAGAAUGAAUUCACCAAAGAUAUUGUGGGAGUUUUGCUUUGUUACAUCUUGUAUUAUUAUUUAGAAUAGUAAUAAAAUACAAGUUGGGGCUAGAGCCCCAUAAUCUCGUGUGCCUUUGUGGGUUAUUCUUUAUUUGCCAUCUCGUGUGGAUUGGAUUAGAUUGAUGAGGCGAAAUAUUAUGUGGGAAAUUUAUGUUGGGACACUUACCAUAACCAGGUAAAAUCUACCAAGUCUUUUGUAAUAUCUUCUACAAAUAUUUUAGACCAGUUCUUCACAAAACAUCAUAAUAUGUUUUGUGUUUCUCUUGGAUUUUGAGUUGAAUUGUCUUAGAUCAAUUGAAUGCAUCUCAAUAUUAUUAUCUUGUUUGAAGGCUUGAUGAUUUUCCAUUUAACUUUACUUUCUUUAGGUUAUGCUUGAUUCCUUAAAAGUACUAAGGAAAACAAAAAAUAAAAAAAAAUAAAAAAUGCAGAGGGUUAGGACAUGUGUUAUCUAAUUGUCCUAUCCAAAGAUAUUAAGAAAGUCAUGUAGGAAAGUAAUUGAAAACUAGGUCAAGAAAGGAGCAAAAGGGAAUUGUUUUGGUAUUUUCUUUUUUAUUCUUGAAGGUGGCAGAGCUAAAAUUUGAGAAAUCAAGCAAAACAUACUGAAAUUACAUUGAAAGAAAGAAAAUGGUAGUUAAUGUCUUGCAGUACAUGAUAAGGACUUCAUGCAUGUAGUGUGACGACCCAUGUCUUGGACUGAUGCCACACUCACGGUUACACUUAUACCCUUGGUUCUCUCUUUACUACCUUGGCUAACCUAGAUCAGGCUAUGAGAUAGGCUCCUCACCACACCAUCACUUGCCCAGUAAUUAGUGACAUUUUCAAGCAAUGAGGUAACAUGGUGACACCAAGAGGGUUUAUCCCUCGCCCCAACAAGUCUAGACUCGGUCUCAAAAAAAUGGAGAAAAAUGAGGUGUCGUUAUGCAGAAAUACAACAACCAUGCCUUCCUUAUUACUUAGAUUCAGAAUGUGAAGGUGAAAUUGAGAAACAGAAACUCUUGAAACCAGAAUGAAAAUUGAUACUUUUACGAAGAAUUACAACAUUAGAGGAAGACUACAUUCUUCCUCUAUAUUCCUACGUUUCUACACUACUUCUACUCCACUCCAUAUUUCUACAUACAUCUUUAAUCAGUUUUCCCUCCUUUAUAUAGAGCCAUCUUCACACAAAUUCCGCAAGGUAGAAAAGAGGAAUGAAACUUGGAGCAAGGUUCGACUACUGGUUGUCGCUUGUCAAGGCUGGAAUUGAACUUUUUUUCUUGGCUUUUCUGGGCAUAGGUAGUAACUUGUGGUUCCUUUUUGGAAUGAAAAUGGUACAGCUAGAACAUGUGGCACUCUCUUGUUGGAUUAUGUGUCAAACAUGUGGCAGCCAUCUAGUGGAGAUUAUUUCAAUUUUGGGAUGGAGAGUUGGCAUCCAAUUGCAAAGAAAUAUGACAUCUACCAACAUGCAAUGUAAACCUAUAUAGAUCAUAUGGAGAUAGAGAGGAAACAUAUAGAAAUGGAUAUAUACCUAGAACUAGCUUUUUAUUAAAUGAGACGGAGAGCCAACAAUGAAGGAAAAUCAAAAUUUUUGGCUCAUAUCAAAGAAUUCACAUUGUGUUACCCUAGGUUUUCUUAAAGCUUGCACAAAGCCAAAAAGCACACAAAAAAUUAUAUUUUCUAGCUCUCUACCUUGGAUGGUCUCUUGAUCCUACUUGGAGAUGUGCAUAAAUAAAAGGAUUUGAAAAUGACAAUUGACUAAGUAUGUAGUCAAUCAAUUACUCAUUAAUUGACUAGUUGAUCAAUUAACUUUGCAACAUCAUAUGCAAUCCUAAUAGCUAGUCAUCUAAUCAACUAGGUAGUAAAUCAAUAGGCCAAAAAUAUGUUUAUAAUGACUAUUUUGUACAAAAACCACCUAUAUGGUUAAAUAUAAUGCAUUUCAUUUAUAAAUCUUCUAAUUCUUGAAUAACGAUCCUAUCAUCCUUUGAAAGUUUUUAUUACACCUUUUAUACUUUUGUUCUAAAACUUACACAUGUACAUCACCCUUAAUUGUACCAUGAGAACCUAGCUUUUUUUUUUUUUUUUUUUGUAAUUCAUCAAAGUUAGCUUUUGUAUUCAUUACUGUACUAUUUUUAUUGUAACUUAGAAAGCGAGUGUUUUCAAGUGAGUGAAAUUGACUUAUAAAUAUUGUAAAGAUUCAUUGAUGUGUAUCUUAAACUAAGUGUACAAGUUGAAACAUUUGCUAGUAGAUUUUCUCAAGAUUUAGAAUAGAGCUUGAGGCUAUUGAAAUAGGUGGGGUUGCACCAAACCACAUCACAUUGUUGUUUGCACCUUUUUUUCACUCUCUUUUACUUAGUUGCUCUAUAUUUGUUGUCUAGUAAUAUCCUAUAGGCUUGAUGGGUUAGGGAGCAUCCCUUUGUGAAAAAUUUUCAUUCAAUCCUUAGUUGUAUCACGCAUAUAUAAAAUGCCUCAUUGUUUUAAUGGUAUUCAGUCGUGGCAUCACAGAUAUGGGCAUCUAAAUUUUAAAAGUUUGAAACUUUUAUCUAAAGAAAAUAUGGUGCUUUGCCUUUUUGUAAAGCAUGUUGAUGAAAUCCAUGAGAAUUGUGUACUUGGGAAGCAACAUCGAGAUGACUUUUUUUUUUUUCAUUUUUUAUAAUGCGACACCUAAGUCCGGUUUCUAAAUGCUGAAGUGAAAGGGUAGGUAUGGACCAUUGAAAUCUGAUCACAACUUUUGGCCUUUUCCUUUCUCUGCAGCCAUGUUGUCUCUUUUUUCUUUUGCAUGAUUUUCUUACCUAAACAGAAUCAUAGACUUGUUUAAUCUCUAAAUGGUAUUUCAUCCAGCUUUAAGCUACUGUAUUAUAUCUUGGUGGAGGACUUUUAAGAGUGAAACCGACAUAGAGCACAUGCAAGUGGGUAUAUGGGACAUGAAAUUUCUUCUUAUAAAGACUGCAUGGUUUUUAUAUUAGAGUUGUUGAGGCGCAAUGUAUUUAGCUUGUUUUGCAGUUAAAUUAAUUGGAUAAGUAGACAUUGUCGUUUCUAAAUUUCCCACCUAAGAUAGUGACCUUAUCCUUGACUGCUUGAUGAGAUACACAAACAAUUAUACCUUCAAAAUCUACUGUGAAGUGCUUCAUGUAUGUGUGAAGUAUUAGAAAUUUCUUUCUUGGCAACUUGUUUUUUCUUUGCCCUCUACUGAUAGGUUUGACUCAAAUUAAAUUCCCUGUCAUGCUAAUUAAUUUUCACGUGCAUGCUCAAAAGGAUCACGUCAACUCUGGUUUCUACUAUUCAGGUCCAUUCCCAGAUAAACUGGUUCAAAUUUGAGAAAAUGGCAACAGCCCUUUAGUGAUGUUGGUUUGGAGCCAGUAGCCAAACCCGCCCUGAGCUUUACCACUAAUGUCAAGGGACAAAGCCAUUUGAACAAAAACAAUAGCUUCAAGAGACUGAAUCGUGGAUGAAAUCUGAUCCACAUUUCUUCUCAUUUUGGGAACAAAUGAGAACUUAACUACAAAGAUUCUACUGCCUCAUAGUGCUUUUCCUGAUCUAAGGUUGGUUCGUUUCCCAAAUUGUGAGGUACGUGCCAUUCUCACGCUCAGGAGUGUAUCCACGUGGUGGACAUAAGAUGGUGGCUUAAUAUCUGGUGUCGGUGGCUUUACUUUACUAGGAGAGUAGUGUGUCUUCAUCUCAUUCACUGCCGGAGGGUGGCGUAAGCAGUGACGCUAAGGUGGGGCACAGUCAAUAUCAUUUGCAUUUGACCAUUAUAGUUUUCUCCCGGCUUGAAAGUAACCUUAUCGUGAUAAAGGAUUACUAGCACUAGUUCAGAUGACAGUCAUGUUAAAUUCGGACCAUGUUUGUGUCACAUUAUCAGCAACCAUGUGUUUAUGGUUCAUGCUAUCUGCAACUAAACUUGAUAUAUAACCACGUGAACUUCAAUCUAAAUUCUGGAAGUACUCUUGUGAUAGAUGGUGCCUGUCUGCAGAGUCCAUCAAUUGAAAAAUGGAGUGAGUGUAUCUAUAAGAGGGAAGGCUUGGCAAAUGUUCAGUUUUCUGGGAACUCAACAAGGAUCUAAAAUAGAUUGUUUUCUUUGCUGAUUUCAAUGGUUGAAAUUUGAGAAGAUUGUGUCCACAUAACACAACUAUUACUGGUCCUUCUGUUGCAAUUUAUCCUCUAAGGCUCUAACAUGUCUUCCAAUUCCCACUUCCCUGUUACUCCAGGAAAGCUAUUUCUGUCAUUGUGAAGAAGAAAAGAGAAUGUACAUAUCGAUGGUUUUAAGUGACUGGGGCAUUCAUAUCAGGUGGUCUGCAGCCAUAUAUGCCACUUUGUGAAGGUUGGAACAGUCAAUCACCAGGCUAUAUUAGUGUGGCCCAGCCACUUCAAUCAAGGACAAGUCUUCAUACUUAAAGUCAAAUUCUGCCUUUAGUCUCAUUAUAAAUUGCUGUUUAAAUAUUAAGCAAACAUUUGUUUAAUGCGAUUAAGACAGUACUAACUCAAUACUUGUUCUAUUUUUGGAUGCAAAUGCUUGAUGGUUUCAUCAUUGGAUGGGAUAAAGGUGCAUUCAUGAUUAUGAAUACUUGUAGUUAUAUUUUCAUUCUCUUUUUUCUCAAUGAGACUUGUUGGCACAAUUUUGCUGUUCAGAAACCUACCUCUCCAUCGAAAAUCAGUUGUGAUUGAUAGUACUGGAUAUAUUCAAGAAAGCUAAAUAUAGAUAGCACCAAAUAUUAUCGAUAUAAAUAGCAUUAACAGCGUACGUAUGUCUCAAUGCUCAUCAGCUAUAAGCAACGGGCAAACACUUACUAUGAGCAACUUGCGUCAAAAUUCCAGAAUAGGACAUAGAAGUGACAGAUCUAUAUAUAUAUAGAACACUGCAUAUGAGUCACAAGAAAGGAAAUUACGGGUGCAUAGCAGCUCUUAUUUUACAUCCUACUCAUACUGAUCAAAGUCACUCAGUUGGGAUGGGUGGGAGUAGGAGGUUUGUGGGGUGGCUUGUGCGGAGGAGUUGGCAGCUUCUUUCCAGGACCUGGUUGCUUCUCUGCUGGAGUUGAAGGAGGCUUAAUCUUCCGAGGUGGCUUGUAUGAGUCUUCAGCAUUCUCAGCAGGAGGGUGACCAGGGUUGUGACCAUAAUGUGGUGGCUUCUCUCCCUUAGGUGGUUUGCCAACUGGGGUUGGUGGCUUGUAUGAGUCUUCAGCAUUCUCAGCAGGAGGGUGACCAGGGUUGCGACCAUAAUGUGGUGGCUUCUCUCCCUUAGGUGGUUUGCCAACUGGGGUUGGUGGCUUGUGUUCUGGGAGUGGCUUCUCCCCCUUGGGAGGUUUUUCCAAUGGGGUUGGUUUGUGUUCAGGAGGUGGCUUCUCCACUGGAGGCUUGUGUUCAGGAGGUGGCUUCUCCACCGGAGGCUUGUGUUCAGGAGGUGGCUUCUCCACCGGAGGCUUGUGUUCAGGAGGUGGCUUCUCGAAUGGGGGAUGCUCAGGGUAAUCAGCAAGUGAGGGGUUGGUGAGAACCACCAUGCCAAGCAACAGGACUAGCAAGUAUGUAGGAGACAUCUUUGGGUUUGGACUUAAGACAGUGGAAAACUGCGAGAAUUCUCUAGCCUUUUAUAGCGGGUCGACCCAGUACUCACAUGACACGUGUCAUUAUGACACAUGUGCCAUGGGGUCGAUUUGGGUCCUACAGUGUUGAAAAGUUGGGCAUUUGAGGUGUGAGCACAACUUUUGGCCUUUGCUUUC
rnacentral:lncRNA from 1 species